UGUGACUUCAAGUAUUCUUUAAUGCUAGCUAAUUGUUAUCACUUGUAUGUCUAGGGUUUGAUCAAUACAAUGAUCCCUUUGAAAAUUGUGUCUUGGGUCACUAUCAAGUUUCAAUUUUGAAGAUUACCCAGUUUCAGUUAUAGGAUUCUUGAGAUUCUUGUACUUUAAAGGUUGAAUUUUUUAUGGGUUUUGAGUAUUUUUAAGUUUGUGUGUGCAGCUUGUUCACUUGGUUACUGAGGUCCGAGGUCUUCGUUUUUAUUGUAAUAUUGGGUUUAGUGUUUGUAUUUUUUCCUAAGUGAAUACAGUUGUUAAUCAUAGACAGCUUGUGGAGAAAUUGUCAUGUCUUAGCUUGUAUUUUAUAGACUGAAUCAUCGGGAUGAUGGGUCACAGAAUUGGUCAGCAUUUGAAUUUUGAACAUGUUCAGGAAUGCCUAUUUAUAUAUAAUUACUAAUUGCAUAUUAUCCGAGUCUGAAGUAUUUGAGUUAACACGAAUUUGAAUCUUGGGAUUCUGUUAAUGCACUGCAUUGGUGCAUUUAAUUCAAACUUAAUUUCUUUUUUGUGUGACAUAGGAAAAAAGAGAGAGAUUUCUGACAUUCAAUUUAAAAGUGAUAAAUCUUUUUUCGCUGCUGGCGAAUUCAAAUAAAAAUAUAAAGCUGCCGUUCAAGUCAGUUCCUCUGCCAUUAUAAAAAUUUUAUCUGUACGUUGAAUUAAGUCAUGCUUAAGUUAUGCACUAGACACUGUCAUCAUUUUGGUAGAGCAAUAAAAUUCAAAUUCCUUAUAAGCUUAUGCGUCUGCAGGAUAACGUUAUUCAUUAAUACUGAAUAUUACUGAUGCCAUUGUAUAUACUAUAGUAAAGAAAGUUCCAAAUCAGUUAUGCUUGCAAUUCAAUCUGUUUACACUAAAUUCAAAGUAUUGAAUUUUCUGUGUGCUACCUUCAUUAGUCACUUACCUUUGUACCUUAUUUUAUAUGAUAACAUCAUUCUUAAUUGUUGGUGGUGGCAUUGACUCUUGAUUUUAUCUUAUUGACUCGAGCUUUCUAAGCUUAUUCACUUGUAAAAAUUCAUCAUCAAACUAUAAAAUAAAUUUGUCCUGGAUUCUCACAAUAGUUAUAUUUAAUAAAUCCCACCUUUUGCUUUCAUUAAAAUAAUAGCUCUUUAUAUUAUAAUCUAUGUCCUUUGGUUUUCUUUGAGUAGUAAAGAUUCAAUUUUAAAUUUUUUACCUGUGAUUUUGUUGGAAUUUUGUUGCCUUAGAUUUCAAGUGCUUGGAUUGUAUUGGAUUGAUAAUACUGUUCUCUAAUAUGCAGAACCUUACAAACUUGUUUUUACUUAAGUUUUAGACAAUUAAAUCUUAAUUUUGGUGUGCUCUCUAUAUACAACCUAUAGUAAUCUUAGCCCUUUUGGGAUUUCAGUUCUGUAAGUGACAUCUGAACUCAUAUUUAAAAAAACUUGUGAAAGUUAAACACAUGUUUGUGGUGAAAUUGGCUGCCUUAAGCAACAUUCAUUCUUGACUUUGUAACUAGUUCCGCUUGCUUUGUAUCGAUUCCUUGAGCUGAUCUAUCUAGAUGGCAACCCACAUGUAGUUCUGAUGGUUGUCUUCUGACCAGGCUGAUAGCCUCAUCAAUGGUCUCUUCUUACGCUAAGCCUAUGAGUUUGCAUUAUACAUAAUUGUAGACCGGAAAAUUUGACUCGACGUUGUAGUACUGAUUAUUUGUAGGUACUAUUAAUAUACACAUUGAUUUUUGGAGUGGUGGGACUGUUCGUAGAUGAAACAAAAAUAUAAGUUACUAAAGAGUUUCUGGGUUAAAUUGGCGCAAAACAGGGAUAUUUAGUUGCCAUGAUUUGUCAGCAAUUUGUUUUCACUCUAAAUAGUAGAAUUGCUCUUCCAAAAAACUUUGGUAUUGUUAUAGUUUUGUGGAGACAAGGACAUGUAUAUAUGAUAGAAGGGGGAAAGUUGAAUAUUUGUCAAAAAGGGGGAAAAGUUGUACAUGAACCAGUAGAUCAAUAGCGCCAAAUGAGAAGUCUAUGAGCCUUCUUGAUUUUCUUUUGUGAGUUGGAUGUGAGAUGGUUGUGUUUUUGACCCUUUUUAUUUGAGAAUAAUGUAUUUGAAUGGAUUAUUCAGGUGUAAGAAUAAUAUCGGCAGAAGUGAAAAACUGUUUUUAGAUUUACAAAACACUUUUUUUACGUUGUUGUCUGCGACAACAAUAGCACACGGGGAUUUAGACUUCUUAUGAGGUUCUAAUCUUUGUUAUACGGACAUGGGCCACUUGUUAGCAUUGUGAAUAUUUUCAUAGCCUAUAUUCUUGUUUAAUUUAUGUCCAUAAUCCCAUCACCUUAAAAGAAAAACACUUUUCUCCAAGCUAAUAAACACCUGUGUUUGAAAUACACUACGAUGUGGUCUUAAAUUUGCUUGUUGACGGAUAUGUUUACAACAAACUCUUAGGCUCUGUAGGCAGUGCUCUUAACAAAGAUAGGUUCUACGAGGCUACAAAAUUUUUUAGACUGAAAACUGACAUCAGAAGUUUGUAUGGAUUUGUCAUCAAGAUGGUUUGUGAAAUGGUGGAAAACGAACUGUUUGAAAGUUAAGGACACAUUUUGCUCAAGUCUGAGAAAGUCUCCACAAAUGUGUGCUUAAAUUUUAGAAUGUUUUUUAUUUUGGUGGCUGGCUGUGCACCAAGAUGUCAUUAAAAAAAUUGAAGUCCUAGAUGGUCUAAAAUAUUAUGUUCAUAUUUGAAAGUCGCCCUCUAAUUCAGUAUCUAUUUCGUCUUACAUUUGAAUUCUAUUUGUAAAUCAAAGCCACGCUCUAGUAGACAGUGUUAUAAUCCAUGAAUACUAUAGAGUCCAAACUCCAAAGCAUGUAUCAUAUUUGCUGACAUCCACGAAUUAAAAGCAUGUAUCGUAUUUGCUGACAUCCACGAAUUAAUGUUAUAUGCUAAUCCCUAUGACAUUAUACUAUGCGGUUAUGGUUUCAGUAAGUUCGCUCAAUUUAUGUUGAACUCGGAAGUGUUGAAUUUUUCGGUGCACUAGCUUGAUUUGAUUGUCUUACCUUUAUGUCUUAAAAUAUAUGAUAAUGUUACGUGUAAUUAUUGGUGGUUUUAGGUCUUGAUUUUAUCCUAAUGGCUCGUGUUGAGAAGCUAUUUGACUCAUGUAAAGUCCCUGUUAAAUUAUAAAUCAAAUUUGUCUUAGAUUCCCACCUGCAAAUAUAAAUUAGUAAAAUUCACUUUUUUGUUAAAAUCUCAAAAUUAGCUCUUUGUUGUCCUAUGCUUUUCUGUAUGUAGUAUAUUUAUCCGCAAAGAGCCUAAUUUGCAUGUUUUAUAUUUUGUGUGAGUGGUAGAUAUUGGUUUUGUUGUGCUAAUGAUGCUGUUAUGCAUUUUUGUUGCCUUGGACUUCAGUGCGAGGACUGCUAAAGGUUGCUGUUCUCUGACAUGCAGAGCUUUAGAACAUUGUCAACACUUUUUUUAUAUCGUCUUUUUUGUUAGUAAAUGCACAGACAUAGAUUUUGAGAUUUGGCAAAUGUUUUCUGGUGCACGUCAAUAAUCAGCAGCAUGGAUUUGAAUGUUGUGCCACUGCCGGAUGACGAGGAUGAUACAUUUGAACAGCAUUUUGAAGAUUACAGAGCAUCAGGAAAGCAACAUUUAAAUCACGCAGAACAUGUUGAGAGUGCAGUUGAUAUAUUACGCAGGGUACGCCACCCCCUCUCUUUGGAAUCUUUUACAUUGAUUGUUCCUGUGGUUAACAUGCUUUGUUGGGGAUCCUGAUUGCCUAUCCUUUUAAGGAAUCCAACUAAAGCUUACAGGUGGAGAAUGGAUUCGGAAGUCUGUAAACUAUUAUUCAAAGAAUGAGAAACAUCCAGAAAAUACAUGUUUGAGUCUUACAUUUCUUUUACAAGGAAGUAUAGGAAAAGAAGUCCUAAUAACUAAAAUAAAAUGUAUGUUGGGUACCAUCGUUCGAAUUUUGAUAAACAUGCAGUUUUAUGACUGAAUUCCUCUGUAGCUAUUCUCAUCAGGCUAGCUGUAUAUGAGUGAUUUGAUUGUGUUAAUUAUACUUGCUCGAUCUAUCAGGAGCGUGAAGAAAGACGUCAGCGAAUGAAAAGAGAACGACCAGAUGAAAGAGCGAGUAAUGCAUCUCAAACUGCAAGGAAUGACCAGAUGUCUCAAGCAAAGCACCAUAAACCUUCUGAUAGAAACAAGCUUCCUCCAGGUGAGUAUGCAUUUAUUUAUCGAUUGUUUUUGUUGGUUGUACUUGGUAUUAUCAUUUAAAUAGUAUUUAGAAUACGUGUUACUGCUAAGAUCAGUGUUUAUCUUGAAUGCGUUUAGGUUCUAAGUUUUGCUUUUUUGAUAAGAUGUCUGACAUUCUAACCUCUUUUUAUUUGUGUGCUAUCUUGAUCACACUCUUGUAUAACUUGCUUUUUUGUUUGUUGUAGGUUGGUUGGAUUGCCCUGCAGCUGGUCAUGAGAUUGGUUGCAUUAUUCCUUCAAAAGUCCCACUUGGGGAAGCCUUUAAUGACUCGGUUCUUCCUGGUAAAAGAUACUCUUCUAGGCAAGUGAUCCAUCAACAAAGAGUUUUAGGAAGAAAGGCAAGUGUACUGAGUUUUUCUUUCACUUUCUUAUUCUGCAUCUUGAAAGUAUCUGUGAAGUUUGAAGCUUUAUUCUUCUAAAUGAAAACUAAUACCAUUUCCUGACAAAGAAUCUGGUAUUGACUUUCGAAUAUUAUUAUGAGAUAUUUAUUUGUGCUAUUGGUCUUUUUCUGUCUUCCUACCUUAAUAUUUUGAAUAUUGGCAAGGCAUUAUGGUUUUUAUGUCUAUUUAUUGUUGGGUAAUAUUAUGCAUGUAAAAUAUCGUUCAUGACUUGUAAGCCAAGCAUUGUGACCCUGCUUAAGAUAAUCGUAUUACUUAUAUUACAAGAGAGUAUUUCUUUUGACUUAAAAUACCUGAGUUGAAUCAAACCAUUGUCAUAAAUGAAUAUUACUCACUUGUUUAUUAUCGUAAGCCAACAUAUGCCUGCAGAGCCCAGAGCUGAGUAGUGAAAUAGCUUGCGCUAAUUAGCGUAAUUUGCUAAGUAUUGAAUAGUUUUUUGCACAAGAAAGUCUACUGAAAUGCAGCUGAACAUCUGUCAUACAUACUAAGCUAGUUGCUUGUUUCAGCUUGGUUUAAUAAUUGAUCUUACGAACACCAGUCGUUAUUACCUGGUGACUGAUUGGAAGAAAGAAGGCAUCAAACAUGUUAAGGUACGUAAUGGCGACUUCCUUGUCGCACUUGUGUUUCAAUCUUUCCUUCUUUCUCUUCCCAAUUAUUUUUCUUUGUUUUUGGAUGAAAGAAAGAGCACGAAAGAAGCAUCUUAAUUCCCAUCUUAUAGCGUGAAGUGGCCCCGGGCACGUCUGGCUCACCAGUUUUAUUCCCACUAGAUUCUGUUGUAGUUGGAAUUCUUAUAGUUGCUCAUCUUUCAGAUUUCCUGCAAGGGGCGUGAUUCUGUUCCUGACAAUGAAGCUGUAAAUCAGUUUGUGUAUGAGGUAAAUUUCUUGUUUUCACCUUUUUUAAAAAAGAGUAAUUUUGUGUUAGUAACUCUAUUAACCAAUUUGACCAUAACUAUUUUACUGAAAUUUUUAUGAAUAAGUUAUAAGGACUAUAUAAGAGUGUCGCCAAGGCAUGUGCACACCUGCAAUCACACCCCUUCACUGCUUUCUUUUAGCUAUCCUGCCCUUCGAGUUCCAAGAAGGUAGAUCAUAGCACAAAUGUGCUACCUUGUAAAAUUGCUCAUAACAUUUUUAUUUGUCCAAUUAUUAGGUUUCACAAUUUUUAGUCCGGCAAAAGCAGUCAAAGAAGUAUAUUCUUGUUCACUGUACCCAUGGGCAUAACCGUACAGGUUUUAUGAUAGUUCACUAUCUCAUGCGUUCACUACCUAUAUCUGUCACUGAGGUUGGUUGUUUAAUUCUUUCAAUUUUUUUAUGUUGCUUGCCUCAUGUAAAUAGUCCUAGGUUUUGGAGUGAUUCACUUGCAUGAUGUAGGCUAUCAGAAUAUUUGCCGAAGCGCGUCCGCCAGGAAUAUACAAACCAGACUAUAUUGAUGCUUUAUAUACAUUCUAUCAUGAAAGGAGGCCCGAUGUCGUUGUUUGUCCUUCAACCCCAGAUUGGAAAAGAUCUGAACUUGAUCUGAAUGGUGAUGCAAUGCCAGAUGAGGAUGAUGAUGGUGGCCCUGCUUCUCCAGUACAUGUAUGUGGCGAAAGCAGUUACGGACUUGUCAUAUUUGGCUGCAUGUCUUUGCCACAAUACCAUGUCAAGAUAAAACUUUUUGUCAUAUUUUAUAGUAAUCUGAAUGCAUCACCCUCCACCCUACCAAAUGAAUAUAACUUUUUGUGGUUGUCCCUCCACCCUAUUAAAUGGAGUUUUAGCCAACAACUUAAAUGUUUUCACUAGUCUGAUCUUUUUAGGUUUUUAAUUGUGCUCAUUUCUCCGGUUUAUUUGAUGUACUAAUAAUGCACAUUGUUUUGCAUGUUGCUCUGUUCAUAUCUGUCUCAGGAGAAUCAUGGAGUAGCUUCAGUUUACUUGAUGUACUACUGCUACACAUCGUUUUACACUUUCUCAUUUUCAAUAUCUGUCUCAGGAAAAUCAUGAAAUAGAGGGAUCGAUGACAAAUGAUGAUAUUUUGGGAGAUGGUAUCCCUUCUGACCAGCAAGAAGCAAUGAGGCAGUUUUGCUAUCAGUCGCUGAAAUUGGGUGCUGGGGUAAGAGCUUUAUUCAAUCUUAAUAUACUUUGAAUUUGAUCAGGGUAUGUCAAUGUCAUUGCUUGUAAUUAUUCACCUUGCAUAUUGCUUCUAAAAUUAUCAAGGGUGUGCUGUUAUCUUCAGUAUUGCAUUUGGGGCAUAUUGACUCUUCAAAUUGUCUAUAUAUCCUAGAAUGUAUUUAAUAGCUUUCCUGGUUUUUCUUGUAUAAUUCCUUGCGACUCUGCUCUUUCCCUCAAAUAAGCCACCACAGAAUGUUCCAUGNAAGAAUAAUUAUCUUGGUAUGUCCCAACAGCCAAAGUUGCAUGCCAAGUGUUUGGGAGUGUAAUGAUAUCAUUUAUUCUAGCUUGUACUACUCAGUGAGAUUAUAAUAUGUCCCUCACUACUCACUAGGCUAUGCUGUAUGUUUUUUGACAAGCUCGCAUCCUUCUAAAGAUAGGCAUUUUUAAGUUUCUACAGAAGUGGUGAUAACAUUCAAAGCUUCAACGUUGAUUGAACUUUCAAAUGUAUCUUUUGAACUUGUGAUAAAAGAAUAUGUCCUUGUCUAAAUAUUUCAAUCUAUAGGUGUAUGGUAAGUAUUCAUCUUGUAAGAUAAAAUUAGGUGUUUGUCACUUUUUCUUACCAGGCUCAGUAACAAAUUUAUGCCUUCAAAGUUAAAAGAGUCAAAUGUACAUGAUAUCUCAUUGUAUAUUCUGUAGCUGAAUGAGUCUGACAAUUUUAAACUGCACCAAAAAGCUCAAUUAUCAGAACUCAGUUAUCAGACAUCUGACAUUCUGACUUUUUCACUAAUUUUACUGCUCGUAAUAUCUUGGCUGCAAUGUUGUUAUGUGCUUGCCUUGUUGGGUGGUGUCAACCCAAGUACCACUUUGAGGCAAGAGAUAUUUUCUUGUAUAUAGAGCAGCCACUAGGCUCCAAUAAUAUGAGGGUUUUUUGGAUGUGUCCAAAAACAAAUCUGUGCGGUCUUGAUUCAAAGCGGAUAAUAUCAUACUAUUAUGGAGUUUAGGUGCUUGCAGCCCAACAUGCCAGUUUCAAGGAAGCUAUAAUAUGUUUUUGUUUGCAGGUAAGAGGCCACUCACAAUUUCCAGGAUCACACCCAGUUUCACUCAACAGGUCUACUUGGCUUUAACCUUGUAAAUCUGUUUAAAUUUUUAUUAACUGGAAGUCCUUUUAUCUUUUAAGUUAAUAAUAUGUUAUGUAAUAUAAUCUCUUCACUUGAACCAAGGUUCGCUAGGAGAGAGGAGCUAAAUGAAGUUAAUGUACUCCCUGUAUUACAUCGGAUGAAUUCUACAAUAUAUAUCAAAAGAUUUGCAUUUGAUUGCAUAUUUUCGCAGUUUGAUUGGUGCAAAAGGAAUUGAUGGGUUUGCAAUGUUUCCUUUAGUGUCACAUGUAGACCAUUAGGAAUAUAAAUUAUGAGUUAGACGAUUGAAAAUAUGAUUUACGGCGUCUGAUAGUAUUAAGAAGCUAUAAUUGGUAUUGCUCAUCUUGCAGAAAAUUACAAUUGGAGCUGUUAAAUUGCUUCUGUUUCAUCCUCAAUAUGUUUUUUUUAGUGAGAGAAGAAUCUACUCAUAGAAGUUCUCAAGAGGGAAUCGUGGUGCAUGUUUAAGUCUAAAAGAUAAGAUAAAAAUUGAAAGGACUAUUUCUUAAUUAUCUACUGUAUAAAGAGUUACGCUAAGCUGUUACAUAGGAUCUCAUGUACCAACAUGAAUUGGAUCGCUUUGACUGUUCAGAUAUUUUAGUUUCUCCAUACUCUGGAGUUAUGGAACAACUGAUCAGAUUCUACAUGAAUUUGGCUCUUUAGGUCAUCUUAGAUUUUUAAAUUGUUACAUUUAAGGUCUUUCUGAUUGUUAUAUCUGUUUAUCAACUUUUUCAUCUGUUUUAUAACUCUACCUACUUUGCUUUUCUAGUGACAACUUACAGUUGUUAAGGCAACGGUAUUAUUAUGCUACAUGGAAAGCCGAUGGAACACGUUACAUGAUGCUUAUUACUAUGGAUGGGUGUUACCUAGUGGACAGGAAUUUUACUUUUCGACGGGUCCAAAUGAGGUUUCCUUGCAAGCCUACUAGUGAGGUGUGUGGGCAUAUAGGUUAUAAGAUAUUAAAAAGUUCCUGUCUGUUGCCUAGAACCUUAUAGAUAUAUGUUCAGACUUCAGUGUCAUUUGACCUUGAAUUAUAUGCAGGGGCUAGCAGAUAAGACCCACCACUUCACUCUUCUUGAUGGGGAGAUGAUUAUCGAUACUUUGCCGGACUCACAUAAGCAGGAAAGAAGAUAUCUGAUAUAUGAUAUGAUGGCAAUCAAUCAAGUCUCUAUCACAGAGGUAAGCAUAGACAGAAUUUCAUAUUUACUUAAGGGUAGGCACAACUCUCCAUGUGACAACAAUAGUUAUUCUUCAUUUGCCUUCAUUUACUUUGUUGCUGUGUAAAAAUAUUUUUUUUUAAACAAUUCACUUUGGUGUCCACCUUGUCUCUUUUUGUGCGAACACCUGAGUGGCUGAGUUUCUUGGGCCCUUGUACUUUUAGUAUUUUAACUAUUAGAAUUAUAAAGCUAAAGUUAUGACCAAAUUAUAUGCUCUAUUUUGAAGAGCUCUGCAGGAGAAAUGCAUGUAUGUUUUUCAUAUUUCAGUUGCACAGGUGUCCUUUUAAAAAAAAAAAUAUAUGUAUAUAAAAAACCUUUGAUUGCCAAUUUUGCCAAUGUAACACGUAAUAAUUUAUAUAUGACUUCUGUCUUUCUCAGUUGUGCUAUUUGAUUAUCCUACAUAGUAUAGUAUACUUUAAUUGAACAAUGUAUAUUGAUUGAAAAUUUAUGCAGCGUCCCUUUUACGAACGUUGGAAGAUGCUUGAGAAAGAAGUUAUUGAACCCCGGAACCAUGAGCGCCAUAACAUAUAUCAUAGUAGAAAUCCUAACUACAGAUAUGACUCAGAACCAUUCAGGGUAUAUUGAGUUAAAGUGACUGUUGUUCAAUCUCCAAAUUUAUAAUGUUUCAGGAUGGCUUAAUGGUUUGUUAAUGUUGGCAGGUUAGAAGGAAGGACUUUUGGUUGCUUUCAACUGUUACCAAACUUUUGAAGGGAUUUAUUCCAAAGCUUUCACAUGAUGCAGAUGGCCUUGUUUUUCAGGUGGAAAAUCUUCCACUCUAGAAAAUGAUGCGGCAUCAAUGCUAACAAUAUUCUUGAAAUAGUGUCUGUUAAUGUGAUGUGGUUUAUUUUAAGCCCAAUGUCUCUUGAAUGAGGGUUUUUUUCCAUACCGAAUGGCUUGUUUGCAAUAUUUUGUAUCCUGAAAUGGCAAACACUUCUUGUGCAAUGUUUUUCAAUAUAUCGGAUUGCUUUGUAGGGUGUUGCAUCUGAUUAUGGCUUUUUAUUUUAUUAUAAACGAUGACUUAUUAUGCUCUUCAUAUGCUAGGGUUGGGAUGAUCCUUAUGUCCCUCGUACACAUGAAGGACUUCUGAAGUGGAAAUAUGCAACAAUGAACUCAGUUGACUUUCUGUUUGAGGUUUUUAUCGACAACUCGUCUUAGUAGAUAGUGUUUAUUGUUGAAUAUAACAUAAUUCAACCAAGGCCACCUCAUAACACCCUAAGGUUUUGGGAGAGUUGGUUACUUAUGAUUAAUCUUCAAAAUUUACUACAAGUCUUAGUUAAUAUCUGAACCUACUUAUGUGGACAGAUGGCUGACACGCGCCAGCUACUAUAUCUCUAUGAGCGAGGAAAGAAAAAGCUGAUGGAAGGGAAUAAGAUUGUUUUCAAUGGUUGGUGUGUUUCUCCUGUUUACAUAUUUUCCUGUUGCCAACAUAUUGUUCGUUAGAUUUUGCAAUAUCUGCACAGUUGGGAUUUGAUUAAGUUGGCCUGUUUAGUGCACCUGGUUACUGGAUAGAGUGAAUGAUUGUGUGGUAAUGUCAACCCCCCCCCCCCCCCCCCCCCCCCCCCAAAAAAAUAUAUGUAAUUGUAAGUUUAUUGUUGCUUAUGUAUUCGAAUGAGUGGUAAAAACAUAUGGUUCAAUCUCUUGCUAGUUCUAUAAACACCACAUCUUCCGAAGGCAGCUUCGUUCAAAGAAGGAGGUCUAUCAGUACAUUAGAUAUGGCUUUGUUUCAAAGAAUUCCAAGGAACCAAGUUCAUCACAGGCCCCUCUCAACAUUGUUGUAAGUUACAUGCUCUAACAUAAACAUACUUAUAUAUAGUAGUAUAUAUACAUACUGCAUAAUAUAUAUGAUAAACCUUGCACCCAGCCAAAUCCGAGAAGGGAAAUGAGUCAGAAAGAAGAGGUGGAAGCAUUUCUUGCUGACUCGUGGGAGAAUCUUACCCCCCCCCCCCCCCCCCCCCGGUCCAAUGUUUAUGAAAUUUUUUAAGAUUUACUGGGGAAAGAACAUCUUUAAGGCGUCUAUUUGGACUUCUUCACAAGUCACAGAACUUCCCAAGGGCUGGAAUUUGACGUUGAGUAGGCCCCCAUAGGGAAAUGAUACUUGACGUGGCAAAAAGAAGUUUUACCACUCUAUGUGUGAUACUAAAUAGUGGUUGUCUAGAAUCCUUGUGUUUUAAGUCUGGAAUCUGUCCUAGUUUACAGCUAUAUACGAGUGAUCUUGUUGAUUUAGGUAUAGAAAGGUUGCAUUCAUUACGUCUAUUUCACCAGUAAUGGGAGCAUUUACUUGCAUGAUGAAGAGUCCAUGUUACACUAAGCUUGAUCAUCUAAGCUCUCUGGAUUUAACUUUAUGAAUAAACUUUAAAUUUUCCACUUAUUUUUGUGGCAAAUAUUAAUUCUCAAAUUUUGGUCACUAAAUUUGUGGCCUAACAUGUCGGGUGAGCUUUUUAGUGCAAAAAUUCCCAACUUGUUGGCCACUUCAUUUUCAACAAUCACUGAAGGACGUGACAGCUAGAGGUGGCCAAACGGGCGGUUUGGCUCGGCCCGAACCGGACCGAACCGCCAUUUGACCCGUAAUUUAACGUGCCGGUUUUAACCCGGCACGAACCGGCACAAACCGUGAAAGGUUACGGUUCAGAGAACUGCAAUUCGCAAACCGGCACGGCACGGCCCGGUUGGGAAUCCGCACAGACCGGCACGCCAGCCCGCGUCGACCCGCGGUUUGAACCGUGAAUUACGUUCACCUGCUAAAGCACUGUCUUGCCUUUUUAGUUCACCUGCACACCUGUACAAACCAAAACCCUGCCUUUUUAUUUCUUGUACUGCUUUUUUAUUUUAUUUUAUUUUAAUUUGAUUUUGAUUUUGAUUUCAGUUUUAAUUCGAUUUUAUUGUGUUUUAAUUUGAUUUUGUUUUGCAAAUUAUAAAUUAAUUUGAUUUUAGUUUACAGUUCUAACUUGAUUUUAUUGUGUUUUAGUUUGAUUUUGUUUUGCAAAUUAUAACUUAAUUUUUAGUUUGAUUUGAUUACCAAGACAUUAUUUAUUUCCAAAACAUUAUUUAAUAUCUAAUAUCAUAUUAAAAUUCAUCAUCAAUUUUAUAGAAAAUUAUUAAAAUUUAACAAUACGCUUAUUAUUUAAAAAUAUAAUAAAACUUAAAUUUGAAAAAUAAAAUAAAAAGUACUUCACUGACUUAGUACGUCAGAACAAUAAGUUUAAUGAACACAUGUCACAUGUGCAAUGCCACUCUGCUUGAAUUCAACGUGUGAACCGCACAGCCCGUGAACCGCGAAACCGCCAACCGUUCGGCACGUCAAACACGCUAACCCGUACUUCCUGGUUAUGGUUUCUGUUUUAGCCAACCCGGCCCGGCACGGCCCGGCACGUCUACGCAGCCGGGCCGGUCCCGUGCCCGGAAAACUGAGCUCGGCCCGUAGUUGAACCGGCCCGAACCGGCACGGCCCGCCCGUUUGGCCGGCUCUAGUGACAGCGGACUCCAAUUUUGUCUUCAUUUUACAAACAGCUUUACAUUUUACGAGCUACACUCCCCAUGUUCAAUCAGAUCAGUGUAAACAGAAUUAAAAUUGUAUAUGCAUUCAAUUAAGCAGCAAAGGGCCCUGUCUGAUACUUCAGUGCAGUCCCUUAGAUAUGAAUAUUUUUGGGAUUGUUGUUUGAUUUAUCUGUAAGCACUGGUCAAGAAAUAGCCUUGACAAUGCUAUUAUUGAGUUCUUGUGGCAGUGUGUUAUUAUAUAUCUCUUAAUUUAUUUUUUUUGCAACUGCAGAUGAUACCGAUCCCUCCUCGUAUUCUGGUAAGAUUGUCGAGUGUUCUUGGAAUUUUGAAGAAGACGUAUGGGUCUUUAUGCGAAUCAGGCCAGACAAAUCAACCCCCAAUGAUAUCAACACCUAUAGAAAGGUCAGCCUGUUGGUAUUUCUUUUGAAAUCUUUUCUGAAUCUGAUUUCGAUCUUUAACUGUCCUGAAUAUUACCUUUACAAUAACUUGGAGACAGGUUUUGAGAAGUAUAAAGGACAAUAUCACAGAGGAAGUUUUAUUGAAUGAAAUAAAUGAAAUCAUCCGCCUGCCAAUGUAUGCUGAUAGGAUAAGGAGUGAUAGCAAAGCAGCAGCUAAUUUAACACGACGCAGGUGAUGAGCUGGCACAAGACUGGAGAAAAUCAUUUUCACAUCGACAGAAACAGAAGUGAGCAGUAGUACAACCCUACCUUAUCGUGUGUACGUUUCAGCUUUACACAAAAGAAAAUCGGGAGUUACUAAGCACUUCAAUACUGGCUGGUAGCCAAGUUCUAUAGCAAAGUAGUGGCAACAAGUUAUCGGUGCAAGUAGUAGCCCAUUGUAGUGCUGCAAGUAUGCCAACUGGUGAGUUGUAUGAUCCAUUUGUCACCUAAAUAGCCUUGGUGUUUGAAGUUCUUUUUUACCGUGUCAAAUGAAAGUAAUUAGUAUUAGGAUCAUCAUGUAUAUCAGCUUCAUUUGGAUUAUUUUUACUUCUAGUAUAUUUUACGUAUAGAAUCCAGCGUCUACUCAAAAUUGGAAUUGUUACUGUAGUAAGCUUUGCAGUGAAUUUAGGCUAGCCAUCAGUGUGAUACUUUUGUUGAGCUUAUGUCAUUGUUUUUCAUGCUGUUUCAUUUCCUGCUCUUUCUGCCCUUUACUGCAAUGAGCUGAUAAUUUUUCGAGUUGCAUGAAUGUGACUUCUGUCAUGUAAAUGAAUAGCUGAAUCUGUUAUGGCUGGCUACACAUUCAUCGCAUAUUAAAGCAUUCGCUGGUUUGUAGCUCUUUCUCAGCAAAUCGAGCUGUACUUCGCAUAUGAGACACAGUUUAUUAACCAAUUGAGGUGAGUUUCAAAUAAACACAGUUUUUUCUUAACGGGUUGAGCCCAAAUUUACAAUUCUACACUGUUUCUUAAGAAAUUAAGUUGAACUUUUAUUUCAAUACAAAUUGAAAUUUUAGGCAUUCCCAUAUUUAAUCCAGAAAAAAUUCGAGUUUCGGGUAUAUCCGAAUCUGACCGGAGUUCAAAGGUUUGGAAUUUUGUUUUUGAAUAUUUUUGUCAGAUUCGGUUAUAGAUAAAAAUAGUAUGACAGUAUAAAACAUGUGAGAAUGUUACAUUUUCAGAAAAAGAAAUACUGUAAUAACAAAAUAUAAGUAACCAAACCGAAAAUUAUUCAUAACAUUCUGCUCCUAUAGCAUAAAUGUCGGAGGCAAAGACGUACGCAGACCUUGCUUCUCUCGAUUGAAGUAAACGACACAACAAGCCAAAGGUGGUGAAAAUAGUCAUUUAAAGGAUACGGGAGCUCAACUUACUUAUCAGUACUGCUAAGAUCAACACACCAGAUCUCUGAGCAGCCGACUUGUUCAUCUAUAACAUCAUCUCGCCCUCUCCAUAACGCCUACAAACAGAACCACAAAGUAUUAGAUUCAUAUGGAUGCGCGUGCUUAACCUGUUCCUAUCUCGCCUGUUCAAUUUCGCUGGAGCAAAGGAUAUUUCAACUACACGACAAACUGAAACUGAACAAUGAUUCAGAUUGGCAAGAAGGGAUACUACAAAACGUAACACGAUCUAGAGUUUUAGAAGUAAAACGCUACAUGAAGCGUUCAGGGUUUCAAAACACUAGAUUGUGUAGCGUUAAAAAAGAAAAGAGGAUAAACGUCGCAUGAUCUAGCGUUUUGGAUUGCAAAAUGUUAGGUCAGGGUCAUCUUCUCCGAUAGUAGUAUUUAGGGUCAUUUUUUUUGAAAAUUGUGACAGUAAGGGCCAAUACCCAACUUCAACCAAUACUAUACUAGUAAAAUACGCCCACAAAUAUCAAUGAGCUUGGAGCACUGGUCUCUUACCAAGCCUUUUGAUUUCUUUGUCCAUCUGACCAGUGAGCAUCAAUCCAAACAUCUUGUAAUCGCAUAAAAAAGACCAGACCGGAUGACCAAACGUCGCGGGAACAUUCCUUUCGACGAAGAAAUGACUAUACCAGGCCAUACCAUAGCCAACCAGAGGCACGCAAAACAAGUAGCACCAGUUAAACAUAAUGCAGUACAUGAAACACACAAGACUGGCAAGUGUGCCUGCAAAAUGCCACAUUCUUGUUGUUGGCUCACGUAGAAAGGCCAGAACUCAUCCAUGUUGCGGAAAUUCAUAGUCAAGACUGGUUCAGAAGCUGACUCUUGGGCUUAUCAAACACAUACAAGAAACCUCAAAUUUUUAAAAACACAAAAUCUAAACAACUAAAUAUCGAGAAACAGUUCCGUUCCUCUUGUUAGUCCCUCCGUCUUCUUGUUUCAUCCGCCUGGCUUGAAAUUUUUUUCCCUCGGGUCCGGACUAUGCUAAAAGUGUCCCGUACUCAUUAUUAUUCCCCAUGUAGAUUUGUUUUGAUUUUCGAACUUACACUUUAUAAAUUCGGUUUUUCCAAGCAACCACACCAAUCAAAAUCUCCCAGCGCUUAGCAUGUGCCCAUGACACACACUCUCUGUUCUAAAAGUCGGUGAUUAAUCACGAUUAGUCACCGAUUAAUCCUUGUUCCAUAGCUCACCGAACUGAUUAAUUCUCCGAUUCAUCAUCGAUCAAUCCGAUUAAUCUUCGAUUAAUUCAUUUAAUCCCCGAUUAAUCCUUUUUCUCAUGACUUCACCGAUUAAGUCCGAUUCCCACACACUAGACACACCCUUAUAAAUUCAACUAUCCUAGAUCCCUGUAUUGUCGUCGCACACACUUUGGUAAAGAUUUGAAAAUUCGGAAUGAGGUAUGUGGUUUACAAGACUUCAAAUACGCAAAAUCCGAAUGUGAUUUCGGAUUUUCCGCAUUAAUAAAAGUCAUUGUUUUAUUCAAAAAAAAACUUAAUUAAAAUGAUUGAUAUCGGAUAUAUUAAAAUAAUAUAAUAAUACUUAAUUUUUUUAAAUAUUUUAAAUUUAAUUAAAUUUGAAAAAUCAAAUUAAUACAUUACUUUGUAGCGAUUAAUCAAAUUAAAACUAUGCUUUCAAACAACAAUAUAAUCUGCUCCGUAUAAAUCUCUUUCGGGCCAAAACUAAGCGAAACCCGAAGAUAUUGCUGAUAUCUGUGAAGCUUAAUGGGCUAAAAGGCUAGUCCAGCAAGAUAGUAUAUUGGGCCACUUCAAUGUUUUUAUUAACGGUUUUUUUUGUGAUGAGUCCGAUAUACACAUGUGAGCAUGUAUUUUAAGUCAUUUUCAUUGGUUACGUAUUAAUAAUGAUGACCUCCGGCAUAUACAGAAACUCCACCCAUCAAAGCGUUUAGACAGCCAAACCCUUAUAUUUAUAAUAACGGAGAGGGAGAGAGAGAGGGAGGGAAAGAGAGAGAUGGGAGAGGGGNUGAGCUAAACCUGAAAAGCAAGAAGAACAAUCAAAUCUGUUGAUGAAGUGGGUGGAGCUAGUGUUUGUAUCAGCUUUAUUCUCACAUAAGGCCAGAGGGGAGAGAGAGAGAGAUGGGAGGGAGAGAAAGAGAGAGAUGGGAGAGGGAGGGAGGGAGAGACUUCUGGGGAGAGAGUGUGUGUUGUAUGGACACUCUUUUGUUUCACAUUCAUCCUUUGCAGCCAACCACUGGUCUACUAUCAACUUUAGCGAUGGUAAAGAAAAAGUAAAGCAAUGCAAUGAAUAUGUUUGCUUUUCUCCAUAUCCUUUCACCAUUGCAAACACCUAUUUUUCUGUGAUGAUUUCCAUGCAUUUCCAUUACUUGAAAAUUAUACUUUCACCCUUUAUUCUCCCUCAACUCGAGGCUUGUCAGUAUACAAUCGAUUUUCUUAAUUAAUUUAUCAAUAAAUCCCAGCUCAAGAUCUGUUUCGAACAUUUGUAAAUCCCCAUGUUUGUAAAUCAUUUUCUUGUAUUCUUCUACACUUCUGUUCCUUUGUCCUGCUUCGGUUAUAACAUGCCAAAUACUCAAACGCCUAGAUUAUUUUGCUACAUGCAAAUUAAUCGUUGUUCCAUAAUUUAUUAAUUUGAUUAAAUUUCUGAUUAUCUAAUUAAUUUUUGAAUAAUUUGAUUAAUCAUUGUCUCAUGUCAUCGUCGAUUAAGUCUGGUUCACAUUUGUUAGAAUACUAUCUCCUGCUACGACUACUUGUAUCAUUGUAGCGGUUAAAAUUUGACAUAUAGAUAAUGAAAUGAAAUUUGAGCACAAAUUUGAAUCAAAAUUAAAAUUUGUUUUUCAAAAUUUCGAAAAUUAGAAAACAAAUGCCCUCGUAGGUGGGCCGAACGACGUAAAAGAUUAAUGUCGUUUAGCAUUCAUUUUGCUAAUAUCUUAAACAUCAUGCAUGCUAGCUACCACCUUCUCCUUUAUUUCACCAUGAAUCCAUCUGCAUUUUAAUAAUUGAUUUGUUCUAAAUUCAAUCGAAAAAGUAUCAUUUAACGUGUUCUCAGUGGCAAACUCCGAUACAUUCUCCCGCAAUAAUAUCCGGAAUACAAAACUCCCGCAUCAAACAACCGCCGACCCCCGAACUAUACAUCCUAGCUAGCAGUAAUCAAGAACAACAUAAUAGCGAAAAUAAUGGGUUUGGCGAAAUUUGUGGAAUCUAAGUGCAGGCGUGCUGAUUCAUUUCCUUGUUAUUCCAUUCUAUGCAUAUUGCAUUCCCAUUGCCAACUCUGUGCAGCUGCCUUUUUAACUGUCACAUUCUUGAGAAAAAUAAAAUCAUUAGAUUCGUAAUUAUUAUUUACGCCUCGUGAUCCACUAAUGAGAUAUGCAAUUACUAGAAUCGAAAUUCAAAGUUUUAUAAUUCGCACAAAUCAUAGUUGUCUGUUGAUACAAAUUACAUAGCGUGAUAAUGUGAUUUAUAAGAACGGUCAUCUUCAUCCAUGACUUCUAAAAUUGUUUAUGUGCUUGAAUUUGAGUUUAAUGUCCAAAUUUUCUAAUAUUACUCCCUCCGUCUCGCCAUGAAGUUUACCUACACUGUCUGCACGCAUUUUGAAACUCUCGUAAAAUAUAAUUCUAUAACAUAUUUUUAAUUAUUUUUUGAAUAAAAGUUUAAACUUCAAAUUUUUUUUCAGAAUUUUUAAAAUAUAUAUAUAUAUAUAAUGUAAGUAUAUUUUAUAUAAACCUUAAAAUACGUGUCAAAAAGUAACGUAAAUAAUCCGGUGGGACGGAGGGAGUAUUUAAUAGCCGAGACAGAUAUUGAAAUGAUUAGAAAGGAAUUAAAAUGUAAAAAUAUUUAAUAUUUUCUAAAUCGUUUAAUAUGAGCAAAUUUUUUAGUAUAAUUAAUUUUUCUGACUCGACCGGAAUUUAAUCCGGUCCGGCUCUCCCGGUUCAGUCAAUGUUAUUUAAAACAACUGCAUGCAUCAUCAUCGUAUCUGAGUUCGUGUACUAGUACUAUUGAAGUGGAGUUUGUACGUACUCUAGCUCGUGGCGUGGGAAUUAAUUAGUCAUAAAUGUAAAAUGAAUGGGCCCUCGUGAUAUAUGAGUAUAUGCACCGCUGAUUAAAGUCCGUCCGGCGAGAUUCCGUCCCGUGACCCACGGCGGCGGCCCGGUAUCAUUAAAUAGGGUUACCUCUUUUUUUCUUCCAUAACUCUUCGCCAUGCAGAAUGAAUUUAUCAGUAUCACAAGAAAGAAUUUUACGUAUAACUAAUAUCGUAAAUGAGCCGAGCACGAUUGGAUAGCCCAAGUGGUGGAUUUAUCCUCUGUUGUCCCGGGAUACUCGGGUUCGACUCUGGCUCAAUCUGAAAUUUAUUAGAACAGAUACUAAUUUGUAAGGCAUAAAAGCAUGCAUCGUAAAAAAAAUAAAUCGUAAAUGAGCCGAGUCGAAUAUCAAAAUGUUAAAUUUAUGCACACUUGUCGAUUAAAAUAAAAAUGAGACAAGAAAUGGGUUGAGAGUACCUUAGUGGUAAAACUAUACAUCUCAAGGGCUUGGAUUCGAUUAUCACCUAUAUCAAAUUUAGGUAUCGAUAGAAGCAUACGGUUACCGCCGAUACUAUGACUAUAUAAAAAAAAAUGAGACGAGAAUUCAUAAUUUUGUGUUGAUUAAAAUAUAUAAAUUUAAUUAAACAAAUAAAAUAGAGUAAAUUGGGAUGUUUGUGUCAUGUUCUAGAGUUAUUUUCGUAAAUCACAUCAACAACGGAUAAAAUCGUAUUUCAGGUCGAUAUCAAGAAUUCUGCCAUGAAUGUCCGCUGUUCGGAGAGGUGCAACAUUUUUGUCCAGACAAAGGACAAGCUCCUGUGUCCAGAGCAAAUAGAAUAACAAAAAUACAACUAUCCUCAAUGUAAAUGAAGAAAAAACAAGGAGAACCAAAAAUGAAAUCGUGAGGCUAAUCUAAAUUGAACUUCCGUUAAUAUUUUUUCCCUCCGUCGCUCUGGAUUUUAUACGUUUUCAUUUUUAAUUAUAUUUUGUUUAUUAAAACAAACACAUCUUCUCAUGUAAGUCCGGAUUAAUUUUACAUAUUUAUAUAUUUAAUAUAAAAUUAUUAUUUUAAAUUUCGGUCCAAAAUUGCUUUGAUUCAGAGACGGAAGUACUUGCGAGCUUACCUGGCCUUAAGCCCAUGGUAGUUUUUUUAAAAAAAUUUAGUAAUUAUAUAUAUUAUGCAAUUUAUGUGUUACGUCAAUUCAAGCCCACUAUCAAUUAGGUCUAACUCAUCAAUAUAAUCAACUAGAUACUGAACAUAGAGUAAAGAAUGCUAAGUAAUUAGAUAGAGUUCUAUUUUUUUGUUCCUUAGUAUAGUGCAGUGAGUAUAUUUUUUUCAUAUAUAUUUGUUCGUUAUUGACAUUUCAAGCUCAUCUCGAUUCAAAUUCCUGGUUCCGUCCAUAUUUUGAUUUUUGAUUUGAUUCCGUCAAUACGGAGAGUGAGGUGAAAAAGAGAAAGCCGAAAAACAAAAAGAGACAGCAGGAGGCAAGAAAAAAAGGGGAAGAGCAUAAAGCAAAGUUACCAAAACAAAAAAAGCAGAAGAAAGCGAAGUGAGAAUGCAAGUGAUGUAGAGAGCGAGACAACAUAGUACAACUUCUGCAUUAUUGUGUGUAGAAAUUUAAAAUAAAUGUAUUUUAUUGUACUCCAUGUUUGUAUGCGGUGUUUAGAGGGACAGUCCAGCUCCAUCGUCGCUGAUGGCGUGAUUUACUUUUGCUUUUUAUCAUCCACCGGAAUCUUUGAAUGUCAUAAAGUUAAGAGAACUAGACAUGAACAGUUCACACGAAAAACACCGGAUAAUGUAGAUGGAAUUUAUUCGUGUGAACCCGGAAUUCCGUUGGAAGUUGUUUUAAUCGGUUUAAUAAAAUCAGGUUCACGCAACUGUUCGGAAAUCUAAGAUUUCUGAAAGUGGAUAUGAGAAGUCGAAAAUCUGAUUAAAUAUUCAGAUUUUUAAAUUUUUAUCAAAUUUAUUUAUUAUUUAAUUAAUAUAAAUAAUAAAUAAAUUUGAUAACAUAUAGGUAUAUUAUGAUAGUAAUUACUUUUUGCUUGGUUAUGCUGUCAUUCAAGAAUAAUGUGCAAACUUCAUACAUUAAACUCACUUUAGUGACCAACUAGACAAUUAACCCAUAUAUUACGGUUAUUUAUUUAAAUAAUUAUUCGGUUCGGUUUUAACCAAUAACCAUUAACCGGAACCUAAUUCAUAUCAUAUGUUCGAUUUUUAGUUUUCCGAAUCAGUUUUUAUGUUUUUACCGAUUUCGCUUCGGUUUCAGUUUUUUCCAAUUUUUUUGCUCAGUCCUAAUCUGAGGAAUAAUAGUAGUAGUUUUAGUUGUUUUGCAAAAUAUAGCCAGUACAGUAGCAUGAGUCACUCUUCUGGUGUUUAUAGCUCAAAGAAGAGUAAGCAAGAAAUCAGAAUAAAAAGACACAAAAACACACUGUCCUUUUAUUACACACAAACACAACAAAACUACAUUCUCACUCACCAUUAACAUGAGACUCGCCCUUUAUUACACACACCACCGGUGAUGAAUCCCAACACCACCGACCCACCACCACCUCAGCCACCGCAACCUCCACGCUCUUCCUUCAGCUGUGACAAUCACCCUCNNNNNNNNNNNNNNNNNNNNNNNNNNNNNNNNNNACCGACCCACCACCACCUCAGCCACCACAACCUCCACGCUCUUCCUUCAGCUGUGACACUCACCCUCUUGAACAAUUCACUGGCUUUUGCCCCUUGUGUCUUUGUGAGCGCCUCACAACACUUGAGCCCUCUUCAUCAGCCUCUUCUUCACGCCCACCAAACACCUCAAAUUCUACUCUUAAGUCCAUUUUCAAGAUCAAUAAAGCAACCCCUUCUUUUUUUCCUGAGCUUAGGAGGUCUCACUCCUUUUCUGCCUCGAAAAACGAGCCUUUUUCUGGGGUUUUUGAGCCACAGAGACACUCUUGUGAUAUUAGGGGGAGAAAAAGUUUUAAUCUUGAGCAAGAUAAGAGUGAGCCCAUUUGCUCACAAGCUCAAAACCAAGGUCUUGAGACUAGGGGUUUGAAAAGUUUGAGUCUUGAGCAAGAAAGUAAUAAGCCCAUUUGCUCACAAGCUCAGAAUCAGGUUCUUGAUAUAAAGGGUAGAAAAAGUUUGAGUCUUGAGCAAGAAAAUAAUAAGCCCAUUGGCCUACAAGCUCAAAAUCAAGGUCUUGAGAUAAGGGGAAGGAAAAGUUUGAGUCUUGAGCAAGAAAAUAAUAAGCCCAUUUGCUCACAAGCUCAAAAUCAAGGUCUAGAGAUAAAGGGUAGAAAAAGUUUUAAUCUUGAGCAAGAUUGCAAUAGGCCCAUUUGUUUGCAAGCCCAAAAUCCAGUUCUUGAAAUUGAAGAUCAAGAAAAUGAUGAAAUUACAGUAUUGGAGGAUGAUUUGAAUGUAAUUUCUUCGAAUACUAUUAGUUCUGCUGUUACUAGUGAGGAAAUUGUGGUGGAGAAGAGUAUUAAAGAUCAUAUAGAUCUUGAUUCGCAACCGAAGAAGUCAUCUGGCAUGAAGUUCUGGUCAGCAGCUUCAGUUUUUAGUAAGAAAUGGCAAAAAUGGAUGAGGAAAGAGACGAAAAAGGGGAGGAGUGGAAAUGGCUCUUCUGGCUUAGCUACAUUGCCUGUUGAGAAGCCUAUUUCGAGGCAAUUACGAGAGACUCAAUCAGAGAUCGCAGAUUAUGGAUUUGGUAGGCGAUCUUGCGAUACUGAUCCAAGGUUUUCGCUUGAUGUGGGUCGAAUGUCGUUUGAUGAUCCAAGAUACUCUUUUGAAGAGCCUAGGGCUUCUUGGGAUGGUUAUUUGAUCGGAAAGAAUUUUUCCCGGCUUCCUCCUAUGGUGGAAGAUGAUCCUGUGGUUAGUGUAUCGAGAACUGAUACUGAUAUUCCGGUAGUAGAGGAUACAUUUGUUGGGAAUGGUUUUGGGAAUGGAGAUGAGGAUGUGCCUGGUGGUUCUGCUCAGACUAGGGAUUAUUACUUAGAUUCUUCAUCGAAGAGGAGAAAAAGUCUUGAUAGGUCUGGUUCGCUUAGGAAGACUGCUGCAUUUGCAGAUAUUGAUGAUGUGAAGGUGGUUUCUAAUGCUAAAGUGACACCUGCAGUCAUAGAUUAUGUCAAUGGGGGAAGAGAGUUGAAUGGGGAUAGACAUUUGAGGGAGUUAAAUCUAAAUUCUCUGAGAGAUGAUUGUUCGGGGACAUUUGAAUUGGGAUCUAGAGAUAAUGCCUCGGUUAUCGGGAACAAUGGGGAGGGAAAAGAGUCGAAAAAGUCGAGGAGGUGGAAUUGGAAAAUUUUGGGAUUUAUACUCCCUCGUGGAGGGAAUAAGGAGGAGGAUGGUGAAAGGGGCAAUAGUAGACCAAGUAGGUUUGAGAGGUCACUCUCAGGGUCUUGGCAAGAGCUUAGGAGGGAUGGUAACAGAGAGGGUAAGGGGGCUUUUGAUAGGAAGGCAUUUCGUAGUAAUAGUAGUGUGAGCUGGAGGAACUCUUAUAAUGUGGCUGGAUCGUUUGGUAGUAUGAGGAAAUCAAGUAUUGAGGUUAAUGGGAACGGGAAGAAGAAGAAAGAAGAGUUUGUCUUGGAGAGGAAUCAAAGUGCGAGAUAUUCAACUAGUGACAUUGAUAAUGGCCUCUUACGUUUUUACUUGACACCAUUGAGAGGAAGUCGAAGGGGUGGACUAGGAAAAAGUAGGUCUAGCAACUCUCAAUCAAUUGCUAGAAGCGUUCUGCGGCUCUACUAGAUCCAAGGUCCUUAUCAUAUACAUUGAUUGGUUGUUAUAUUAUCACAAUAUAUUUGUUGUCUACAUAAUGUAUGUGUGCUUAUGCUUGUUAAUUUUGUUUGAGUAACAUGCCUAUUUGAUCAACAAUUGAUCUAAUAAGUAGAAUCUAAUGCAUGUUUGUAAGUUAUUGUAUUAAUUUCAAUCAUCGCCAACCUUUCAUUUACAUUCUCAGUGAGUGAUUAAUAUGUGCUUGGUUCUUGAGUUUGAUUCGCGCAUGCCUAUUUUCCAGGAUUGAUAUUUGUUCAAAAGGCUGCAAAGAGAAAGCUAAAAGAACAUACUGUUCAUGUUGUCUGUUGUAUACUAAUUUACCGAUCAAUACAAUACGGGAAUUUAUAACUGGUUUCUGUCAUGUCUGAACUUAUAAAAUCUUAAUCUGAGAGUAUGUGGUUGUUAAACUACUACUGAGAUGUAACUCUCAUUAACAGCCACUUCCAGAAUCAUCGAUUUUGUCAACUUAGCGAUUCUUGUCCAAGUUUUGUUACUAAAUCUGAUACCAUGGAGAAAGUAAAGACACUCCCUAAUUAUAUUUUACAAGCAAUUAACUUUUUGUACAGAAUCAAUCUUUAUAGAAGUUGUAUCACUAGAAGUGAACUUCAGUGUAGUUGGUUGCUCAUGUAAUUCCCUUGUCCUGAUAUAAGUUUUUGUUUAUUAGAGCAUGCCGAUACCUCCGUUCACUGGUUUAAUGCGGCUGUAUAUUUGAGUGCAGAUGUUUCACUAUGUCCUUAAAAAAUUUCUAUAAUGUUGUGUUUAUUACUUCAGUCUCUUGGUGUUGAAGGGCGCUAUCUGUACAUGCAGUGGUUCACCUGCAGUUCGAUCACUGUCUGAUGUACUUGUCUUACUAUUCUUUUCUUGAAGCAGAUUUCAGGAUUAGCAAUUUAUGCACUCCCCAUCACUGAAAGGCGGAGGGAUUAUGCUGAAGUUUAUAUAAUAUAGUACGGGAACCUUUGGAAAUAAACCAAUUUGCACAAACAAACACACGGGAACUAGAGGAUUCAUCAGAACAAACACAAUCCCCCACCCCCCGGAGCUAAUGGGGAUGUGUAACUUCUCAAAUAGUUUUUUUCCGAGUAUGCCUGCAGACUUACUUAUCCCUGAAAAUGCUUUACUCGAUCAUGUUAGCAAUCAAGCAUUACUUGCUUAAGGUAGGCUGAAUGGAUGUGUGGUAUCUCUGAAGCUUUACAAAGGAAGAUGCAAAUGUUGUAAGAAGCUAGAUUACAGAUGUCCUGCGAGCCAGUAACUAAUCUAGUUCCAUCUUUUAUUUGUUUCUUACUUUCUUUUUUACUUGGGGGUCUGUAAUUGUAAUUGGUAUAUGAUAAAUGUAUGAGUUAUUCGAAUGAACACUGUUAUUGGUUUUGGUUCCUUUGUCUUGUAAAGUCUGCAAGGAAAUAACUAGCUUUUUUUUUGUUUGCAAAUGUUCAUAACAAUUAUAAGUAAAGCAGGAAAUUGUAGCAAUUAUUUGAGAUUCAAAGAGAUGCUUUUGGUCACAAAGGGAGCAGUCCUUAUUCCUUGUUUUGUAGCCAUGCUGCCUAAUCUAGAAGAAAGGAGUUGCCUAUUGAAAAACCCCACAUGUUGCAAAUGCAUGUGAGCCAGUCAUGUUUUCUUAAAUUGAUCUUCAUUCAGUGAGUAAUUAAGGUUAAGUCAUAUUAGUGUUGCACACCUACCUUCUUUUCUUUCCAAGAUUUGGUUGUCAUUUUCUAAGAACCAUUUUUUAGCAGAAUUUGUUUUUCUUUUUCGAGUUGGAGGUCUUCCCGGAAACAACCUCUCUUUGUUUUCGAUUGCAGAUAUGCUGAUUUCUUCGGUUUACGGAGGAUUAUGUUCAUUCCUUUUGUGAAAACACCUGAAUGUAUUUUCUACAUUAAAAGAUGAUCUUGUUGCAAGAUCUUUGCUCUAUUGUCCCUCCUCAAAUAGUAUGCAAGAGAAUAAUGCACAUAGUUAUUCAACACAACAUUGGUCUGGGAGCCUACUUCCAUAUAAAUUUCCUCCAUCUUUACUUCUUUUCAACAUGUACCUUGUUAUGAAGGACCAAGUUGGGGAUGUUUUUUCCUUUUUAACUUUUUGACUUUUUGUACCAACUAGCAAGCAUAUUGAUCAUGAGGCUUUUUACAAGGACUGGAAAAUUGUAAAAGGUCUUAAACAUCAUUCCAAACUUACUGAGUUGUUUAGUAAUCAGUAUUUGAUUAGGCCAUUGGAGGAACAAAAGUUUCAAUCUUUGGUAAAACAAUCAUUGGUGCUGGCUUUGUGGUUGAUUUUUCCUAUUGUUUGAUGGGAUUGGAGCCAAAUUAUUAAUACUACAUACAAAUUGCUGGGCCUUUUUCUAGUCAAAAGUCUAGCAACUAUCCCAGAUGUAUUUUCUACUCUAGCUAGCUAAUCUUGCUUUCUCUUUUGUGAUCUUCACACCUGGGUAAAGAUUUUGUAAGUGUUCUCUUUACAACCCACCAGGGCCCGUAAACGGAUCGGAUAUGAAUUUAAAUUAGAUUUCAAAUCGGAUCAGGUUGGAUCGGAUAUGUGAACCAUUACAGGCUCCAAGGCUACUUUAUGUUCUGAAGUUACCAGAGUUGAGCUGUAUUUCACAUUUAUAUGAAGAUGUAUUCCCUAAGCAGUAGAAAAAAAGUUCAGAAGCUUAAUUACUAGACAGCCUAAACUUAAUAUGCAGAUAUCUGAAAAUCCAAACAAUUGUACCCAAAUUAAUAUAUCAUUCACAUCAUCUUAAGAAACAAUUUGUAUGAAGAUAGCAGAUUAAACAUUAGGAUUGCCAGACUUGCUAGUUGAUCUCUCAAGGAUCCACGGCAGCCUUUUUGUAUGUAUACCACCUUGCGAUCCAUAGAUACACAAGAAAGUUUAAGAAGCUAAGGAUUGCCAAGAGCCAGAAGAAAUAGUCGAGAUGGCCUUUAUUCAAGUUUUCUGGAAUCCAACCAAGCUUUCCAUCUUUAGUUGUCACUGCAGUUACGAUAUUGACAAGAAGGGUGCUUAAGUAACUACCGACCGCCAUGGUUGUAAGAGAAAGUGCUGAGCACAAGCUUCUCAUCGCGUCAGGUGCCUGAUCAUAGAAGAACUCUAUCUGUCCAAUGAAAGUGAACACUUCUGCACAACCAACAAGAAAGUACUGCGGAACUUGCCAGAAGAUUGACAUGGAAAUAACCUCAAGGUCAUAAAGAUUAUUCCGCCUAACAUAGUCAAGCCGAGCGACUUCUAAAGCCCCUGCAACAAGCAUGGCAAUGGUAGAUAUGACGAGACCGAUGCCCAUUCUUUGGAGCUGAGUAAAACCUUGUUCAUGGCCUGUGAAUUUCCUUGCAAUGGGAAUUAUGUAGCUGCCAUAAACAGGUGCCCAGAAUAGGACGCUUAGAGUAUCAAACAGGGAGAGGGAUGCUGAUGGGAUUUUGAAGUUCGGGCCAAUGUGUUGGUCAAGCGUGUUUCCUUGAAGAAUGAACAUGGUGCCCAUCUGACCAUAUACAGUCGAGAAAAUUAUCCCAGAUGCCCAUACAGGUAGCAAAUUGAUAACACCCUUCAGCUCCUCCACUUGAGUAACGGUGCAGAGUCUCCAUGGAUUCACAGCAUCCUUUGCAUAGUCGGAUUCAGUUUGCACAGCAGCCUUAUCAAGAUACCUACAUACACACUGAAACUCAUCAGGGAAUCUAUUACAUUGCUAGUUCAAAUUAUAUAAAUUCAGUAACAAACUAUUAAUUUGAAACUAAUGCACAGGAGGUAAAGUCUAUUUAUAAGCCUGGAAACAACUUCCUGAUUACAAGAUAAAGGACACAUGCAUCUGUACAUGAUCGUAUAUACUGGAAGUCUAGAUGCAUUUAUGGACUACUAGACAUUAAGGGUCGACCAUGAUAUCCAGAAUAUAACAUACAACCAUCAAGAUAUUAGACUGUCCAUCUUCCAGAGAUGAAUAGGAAUGAUGCAUCACUCAAUAUAGAAGUUGUAACAAAUACAUCACCCCUUUUGACCACGUAUCCUCACAGGUCUGAACUAAAGUGAAAGUAAAUAAGGUGAAAAAUGUGCAUCUGAAAAUGAUAUUAUGAACACUUAAGGAUCUUUGUGAAUAGUCUCUAAGAAUCCUGUUUUGCAGGUCAGUGAUGUUAGUACUGCAACUACACCUAAUAUCGUAUAUGUAGACAUAAAGCCAGGCUGGUAAUAAAUCUAUCAUUGAAUGCAUAAAAAGCUGUAUAUUAUGUAUUAGUCCAAAUAACGAACUGUAUAACAGCAAUACUUUAUCAGGGACAAGUAAGAACCAACACGCUUACUUGAACUUUCCUGUGUGCUCGAGCUUGCGACUUCCUUGAAUAUUUGAUUCCUUGUCUGUUAUCUCAUAGAGAAGAGUCUUGUCAUCAGGAACUUUAACAUGAGAUUUUCUCACAGAUGCAACCAGCACCUGGGCAAUCCGAGUUAAGGGACUCCCUCCAGGUCUUUGGAACCGAUAUAAAUGACUGCCUGCAAAGAAAAAUGCAAUAGCAAUGGCCAUGGAAACUGCAGGGAUGCCCAGUCCCCAUCCCCAACCUACAUUCAUUUGUAUCCAGACUAAAACUGAAGAGGCAACAAGUGAACCAACGUUAAUUGAAAAGUAGAACCAGUUGAAAAAAGAAAUCUUUUUCUUUUUCUCUUUCUCAUCAGUUUCAUCAAAUUGAUCUGCACCAAAGGAUGAUACGCAUGGUUUGAUGCCACCCGUUCCAAGAGCAACCAUGUACAGUGCUAGAAAGCAGACUGCGGAUUGAGCUGAUGUUGCAUGGCAACUACCAUUUUCAUCACAUACCGGCUUAAGGCCACUGACAGAUGCCGAUAAUGUUAAGAGUGUCAUUCCCUAAAAAACAUUAAAAAAAUUAGUUUUUUACAUUUUAUAAAUUAAAAAUAAAUUCUGAACUCAUCAGUAAAAUAAGUAUAAAUCAUCAAAGUUCUUAAUAGUGUAAUGCAGACUGGAUGAAGGUCUUUAUUUAGAACCAGUUUGCAGUCAGAAAGUAAUCCUGAAAAAAUUCAGCAUGAUUCCGAGAAACAAAAAAGGCGCCACAAGUAUACUCAGCUAAAAGUUUACAUAGUUAAGAACAAAACACUAACAGUAACAUUUUCUAUUGCUGAUCAAGCAAGAAAAAACUUACAAGAAUAUAGAUAAUUGAGAAAAUUGCAAUUGUCCAGUAUCUUCCCAUGAAUGCAUCAGCUAGAAAGGCACCUAUCAGUGGUGUGAUAUAGCAUGUACCAGACCAAUUUGUAACAUUAUUCGACGCAGUGACAUUAUCUUCGUUAAAACGCUCCUGUAGAUAGUUAACGAGAUUGGUACUCAUUCCAUAGUAUGCCAAUCUCUCGCAGCACUCAGUUCCUGCACAAACAGAUUUAUAUUUUAGAUAAGCAAAAAUGUAUUUCUGAAGACAAAAGCAAUACUGGCUCAAAACAUACCAAGGACAAAUUUGCAAGCUCUCCAAUUUCCAGUUUCCUUCUUAAUAGCGGGCUUCUUGUGACAAUCAACGGUCCCAUCAUUCGUGUAUAUGUCGUCGGCUGCCAUGCUGCCACAAAAGCUAUGUUAACAAUUUGUACUCUUUUAAUUCAAUACUAAAAUUUCAAUUGCACAAUUAGAGUACUUGGAUCGAUAAUAUACAGAACUUAGAACAUUUUUUCUAUUUUACCAUCAUUCACAGGAUACAAACUUUGUGCAAAAAUAGUGAGUUACACCAAAGCACAUAACCAAAAAACAAUUGCCCACGGAACAAAAGCAGAUUCAGAAAAACAAAUAAAAAUCCUUAGAAAAUGCAGAAUCCGUAGUUUAGUAAACUGUAAUAUUCUGAUAUCUCGCCACUGAACCUCGGAAAAGUACAUUCCUUUCUCAAAUAUAUUCAACUAAUUAAUUAUCAACCCAAAUUGUCCACCUUAAACAUAGAAAAAAGAACACUUUAGUAUUAGACAAAAGACAAAGAGACCAUAAAAGCAUGCAGAAACCCCCCUUUCAAAUUGAUCAACAAUUCACCAGAAAAUCCAACAAAAGAAAAAAGGGAAAAAACACUUCAACAGAUUCUAUUCAUUUUUCAAUGAAAUCAUUAAGCAAACCAGGGAGAAAAAAAACCCAAAGUAGCCUUUAAAAACUCAGAAUAAUCAAAUAUCAGAAUAAAUCAGUAUAUAAAAGGGCCAAUCAUAAAUUUAUCUAACAACCCUUCACCAUGCCUCCAAGAAAUCAAAGAACCGUAAUCAAAAACCCAAAAAUAAAACAUUAAAAAAAUUACAUAAGAAGAAUGCAUGCAAGCCAACACAGAGAAACAGUGCAACCUUGCAGAGUUGCAGUGUUAAACCACUACAAAAAUAUCAAAAACAUUAAAAUAAAUAUAUAAAUAAAUUUAAUUUAAAACAAUUGUAUGAAGAAGUGGAAGAUACCUUGAAGAAAAUGAGGAUCCUGAUGGGAUAGAAGAUGAGAUUCAGCAGAACCCUGGUUGGCAAGAAAAAGAGUGACAGCAAAAAUCGGGUGAAUCUGGUAUAUUUUAACUAAAACAUUUAUUAUUAUUAUUAUUUACUUUUUAAGCAUACAUACAAAGGAAGAAUAAUUAUAAAAUAAAAACUCUGCUGACAAUGAAUCCUUGUGUAUAAAGGAUUCAGAAGAUGAACCUGGUACGUUUCUGCUACUAAAUGAAACGGGCCUGUAGCUGUAAACUGUAGUAGUAACAUUUUAUUUCGAAAAAUGUGUUGCAGGACAAUAAAUUUGCUGCUAAAAGAGAAACUAGUAUGUUUGCCCGCGUUGCGGGUGGAACAAUUAAAUUCGGUUCCCAACAUAACAAUAGAACUUUAUUUUUAUAAAAUAAAGUUUUUUUCUAUGUUAAUUAAAUAUGUUGAAUUAAUUAUUUAAUUGAUAAGUAAUUUUUAUGUUAAUAAUCCCUUUUUUGGUAAUUUUUUCGAAUAAUUCUCGCUUAAUCCUUGUUUCGUUGUUUCAGCGAUGGAUUCUGUUUUUUCGCUUUGACGACGUUGGUCGUAAAAGAAUUUAUAUGAAAAGUUAUUUUAUGAAUUUUCUUAAUUAAACAACUUAAGAAAAUAUAUUUGUAAUUCAACAUUGCUAAUAGAGAAUUUUUUUACAAUUUUGGCUUAUAUUUUAUUAUUUUUGUUGUUUUGUUUUUUCUCAUUGAUAUUACUCAAUGAUUAAGACAAUUAUGUAAUUUCGUUGUUAUCUGUUUUUUUAUAAAAAUAAUUGUUAUCAAAAAAUUAUUAAAAAAAGUGAUGGACAUAUAUAAUGACAAAUGAGUUUAAAAGUUAAAAAUAAAUUAACGUUGUAACAAAGUUUUGUAUCAAUUUAUACAUAUCAAAAUAAUUUCAAAAAUGAAACAAAAUAGUUAUUUUAAUCAAGAAACAUAAAAGCCUUGAUACACGUUCUUGUUUGUCUGGCACUUAUGUUUCUUCUCUUUCAUGUUGUUGAAGUCAAGGCCUGUAAAAUGAGGUUCACUCUGCAAUCUGCACAAAAUCUACAUCAUUAGUUAAAAUCUUUUCACUCAAGGUGAACCUAUGAUAACACAAAAAUUGAACACAAAAAAAUAUUGUUCCCCAAAAAGUAGUGAUCACAUUAAACUUGGCAUGGACUUCUUAUACAAAAAGAGGCAACAGGAUAUGUAAAUUAGAUAGAUAUAACACAUGUCAAAGGCUCAUAGAUUCCUAACACUAACAUUAUGAACCUGUAUAAUUUAGCAUGUUAGGUAAAUAAUUGUUGCAGGUAUAUAUAUUUCAACAUAUAUUUAAAUAACCAAAUCAAAGCAUAUAUCUUCUUAUUAUACAGGUGGAAAUCAUUCAGAUUUACCCGACAGAUAGAGGCUUCUUAGGAUCGCCAGUGGAAUAUCCUUUUAAAUAGAAAUAAAAACUAACAAUAUAAACAACACCAAGAACUGAGGAGAUGACAGAGUACUUAAUCCCUCCCAACAUCAUGAAUGUCAAGAACAAAGGCAUCCACUCCAUGGAGUUCUGGUGACCUCUCUUCACCAUUUAACACAGUCAAUGACCCGAUGAGAAAUUUUGAAAGCUUAGAACAUUCACGUUGAAAACAGUACAAUAUAUAUUUGCAAACAUGAAAAAGAGAAAUAGUACCUGAACACAGUUAAAGAGAUUAGCAUUUUCAUUUUCUGAUUCUAAAGCAUACAUCGCAGGUAGAGCAACCUUAUACCUGCAAAUUUUAUUCACAAUAUCAAAUGCACAUUAUCGACUGAUGAUAGAAAAAAAACCUGAAAGAGAUGUAUACAGAUAAAAUAAAUCCUUUUUACGGGCUUUGCCAACUUGAGCAGCCAUCCAGAAAUUAAAGAAACCGGAGAUGUCAACAAUUAUAACAACGUAACGGCAACAUAUCAACUCCAGCUGUGUCCAUCAUCUUUCAGAAAGAUUGGCAAUGAGUCUCUGCUGAAAGCUUUUCUUUCAAGGUGUGAUAUCCAUACAUAUCAGGAGCACCAACAUUGGCACCCUCUUGGAGCAAGAUUUCUGCAACCUGAACAUAUCCAUGUGCUGGCCGAUCAAUGCAGAGGAAGGAUACAUGUUAGUUCCCAUUCCAAGUCUGUGAACAGUUUCUUUACAAAAGAGUCAGGACACCAGUCUGCAGGCAGUCUUCCGAAAAGACCUGCAAUUUCCAACCAAGAGAUACAAAAAACAGAUGUAGAAGAGUAGUUUAAAAAAGAGCCGGGAGACCAGUUGAUAGAAAAAGAACUAAAAGAAAUUGGAGACAAUGGUCUAAAACCUUACGUACAGUACUUGAAGCAAAAUCAGGGAUUCGUAUACCUUUCAUAAGCAGUCAUAUUUUAUAUGUUAUUCAUGGUUGGGCAAUUAGUUCAAGGUGUUUGGUUGGCUGCAAAAUCCUGCUACAGGCAUCCUCUUACUUAAAUGGAUAUCUAUUGGGAUGGGGUGUGCAUCGUCACUAUGUCUAAGUCCCACUUAUGAUAGUAACUCCUAAAUUUAACUAUUUUGUUAUCACGUUGAUUCGGAUAGGUACAUGUGGAUUCGAAACCUGGACCAUUUCUAUCUUCCAAUGAAACACACACAUCUAAAACAGGCCAUUGCACGUAUUAUAAAAUGGUUGCUCGUAUGCAUUCAAUAUCAUAUAUAGAAUAUAAUCUUUACCAUAUAUGAGCAAAAGGUAAGUGAUCUGCGCUGCCAUAUGACUUGUGAAUCUGGAACUUCUGUGAGCCCGAAAUUCCUUGUAACACACUGAACCCUUCUAAAGGUACCUGAAAUUGCACACGGGAAUUCAAUAUUUUAACCCAAAUUCAAUUCUUUACCAAAUCACAAAUAAUCAUUCAACCAGCAAGACUUGUUAGUUGCCAUAAAAGGUCAGAGUAGAUUCCUCCGUGCAGGCAUACACAUAUAGAUGAUACAGAAUAUAAGUAUGUACCUUUGAGGUGCCAGUAACAAACUGUAAGAGUCGUGCUUAUCCUCCUUGCUAAAACUUUGUACAACCUCCCAAAAGCAUGUAUAACAGGAGAUCCAGCACUAUACCCUAAAUACUCGGUAUUCAUUCUCAUGCAAUCCAUUGUAGAGGAUUAUAUAAAAAAAUUAGUAUAACAGAACAUAGUACUCUUAACAUAUCUGAAUUAUAAAGCACAUCUUCAGAGAACUCACAAUCAAUAUCCGAGGCAUUUAUCUGAUUCUUCAUCAUUAAAAAUAGAGAUUAAAUCCCUUUGAAUCAGUUCAUUUAACCCCUCCAAAAAGGCAUUUAUAUGAGGACGAAUAGCCUUAGUCAAACGAUGUUCCGCAACUAAGUCAACAUAUUCAUUAGAAGAAUUGCAAAAUUACAACAGUAAGUAUAGUCAACUUAUUCAUUAGAAGAAUUGCAAAAUUACAACAGUAAGAAUUGCAAAAUUAGCUGAUGCCUCUUAUGUUCAAUAAAAAUCAACAGUGCACUCAACUUGUGACUAUGAUCAUACUGAAUACACAAUUAAUACACACCAUACACACAUCCUAUAAACAACAAAGUAGCAAAAUAAAGAAAAUAGGUGAAAGUGUGGCCUUUUUUCUCAAACAUCCCAGCUUUCACCAGCACAGAAGCAAGUUUCCUGUAAUCUUUUGAUACAUCAGACACAUUACAAUAUUUGAUAUGGUAACCAUUAAAAAACUUGUCAAGACGGCCCCAAACAUUAGUGGGAUGAAAAGCGAUGAAUGCAUCAGUCACAUCCUGGCCAGCUUAGUCAAACCAUGGAUUUAUAUAUAAUGUGUAUAUCUACUACUUGCGCAUGUUCUUGCCCCCUUUAAAGUUGACAUCUUAUUAAAAACAAUAUAGUGAGAUACACACACACACACACAAAACAAAUUUCCAACAAAGUUCAAAUAAUACAAACAAAUAGUAUAAACUUAAAGUUCUUAAUACCUAAGCCAACCUUUAAUUUAUAAUUAUCAACUAAAAAAAAAAAGAAACAAACUUGAAACCAAGAUUUAUUUGUUUGUCUCUCACACUAAUUACAACUAUAACAAACCAUAUAAACAUAUAUCUAUAAUAUAACAACCUGCUGCCAGAGUUGAUCGAUCUGUGCGGCUGUUCAGCUUGCUUGUUGUGGACCUUCAGGUUCUGUUUUUCCGUUUCUCCAUGGCUCGAGGUGCUAAAUAUUUAUUCGAAAUUUAAAGUAUUACUGAUCUAGACACUAAAAGAUUAAAAUCUGAUCGAAUGUACAGAUAAUUUAACGGUUUCUUAAAUUCCCAAGUACUUACCGAGGUCCAUUGCUUCAGCUCCUUUCAUUAUGCGCAAGCGCUUGCAAGAACCAACAAACAUUCUGCAGAUUGAGAUUGUACAUGAGUGAUUCUUAUCUCAGAUAUACAUAAUUCUACUCGAAAAAUAAAAUAACUAAGAGAAAAUUAUAAGGCAUGUUUUUUUGGGAUUAUCUGUUCUUUGGGAGAUUCUAUCACACAUUUAAUAAAUUAUCAUAAUACUAAGAGAAAGAAGAAUAUGCAUCUUUUCCAAAAUAAUCCAAAAGAUAGUAUAGAGCUGAUGAGAUAUAUUCCCUGGUACAUGUAUUUCACAUCUAAAGGACCAACAAAUGCAGAUCAAUAUUCUAGUUAAUCCAUGAUAUCAGAUCCAUAAACUGAUAAUGCAGAAAAAUAUGUCUAUCUUACGUAAAACAUGAAAAAUGCCAUCAACCGCACGAAUGUCAGACAUGUUAUUGUUUCCAAGUCCUUGACAUUCAUGACCACCUUUAACCAGCCCAGCAAUAUCAUGGAUUUUUAGAAAAGCUGCUACCUGAUAAAGUGAAUAUAGUUGAUCAAACGGAAACUUAAGCUGACUAAUUAUAGUCUAACCACACAAUAAAUUGGUAACUAAAAUUUGCCAUGUAAACCUCACUGCUUGGUUUAUAUAUGUGUACUUUAUAGUAAAUAGCUUAUGUCAUCCGAUAAGCAUACAAUUCAUUCUGUUAACAAUCAUCUGAUCAUACUCGCACAUGCACAAAACUGAUGAAGAAAUUUACAUUUUUUCAUCUGAUGAAGAAAUUAUUUUCUAAAUAUAGUUAAUUGCAGAAAGUUAAAAGUUAAUCCCAAAAUGAAAUUUCAUAUUGGAUUACACACAUUUUAUGCAGGUCAGCACUGACCAUCUAACAUAUAUAUUGCGAUACAGCAAACAGAAUGCUUACUCAUGGGAUGAGAUCGUCAAUGUUUGGUGAAUGUCAAGAGCAGAUGAGAAUUGAGUGUCUUAUAAUCUCAUACACGUCAGCAUUACGUCUUUGUUCAUACCAUUCCUUGUGAGCAGAGGCCAAAUACGAACACACAAAGCACAGCCACAUUUGGAAAACAGACAUACUAAUGGAUACUAAUCCCUGUAUCAGAUGCCUAAAAUUACUUGUACAAAUAUAAUAAUACUUUUAGUUCUAUAUUACCAACAACACUUUAAGCAGUUAAGAGUAAAAAUACAAUUCCCAGACUCAAUGACAGGAACUAACCUUCUUCUCUACUUCCUCGUGAGGCACAUCAUAACAUAAAUCAUAACAUAAGAUUAUCCUAAAACACGUGAAUUUCUUAAAAUUGUCAAUAAUAAUUAUAGUAGAAAAAAUGUCAGAGGAGGUCAUUACCCUGACUACAAUGCUCAAAUUUAUAACACACAACCUGCACAAUAUUAAACAAAAUUAAGUUCAUAUAAAUAUUUGGAAAUUCAAGAUCUAAAAAUUCUGUGGCACAUUUUGUCAAACACCUAGCGGUGUACGUUUAGACAAAAUCAGGCUCAACAAUUCAAUCAAUUAAUCAAAUAAAAUGGAAGCACAAAACAAAGUUUUGAACAUACCUUCUUCUCCAUCAAUUCAGAAAGGGGGAAAGAGGGGAUAUUGGAAAUUAAUCCAUGACUUGCUUUGUCAAGCACUGCUGAGAUGGGUCACAGAAAAUUACCCAACCGUGGAGGCGGCAAUUUGAGAGUACUCUGUUCCAACUCCGGAGCCGGCAACUUGAGAUUACUACUGUCCAGAGAAUCCAUCAAUUAAAUUUUAAUAGAUUACAGCUGAAAAACGUAAAAAUUGGAGAAUUGAUAUAAUCAAUUAAGACAUCUGGAAAUAGAUCGAAAAACGGAAACAAACAAAGCAGGGGAAGAAGCUUUACCUCCGGCGAGAGAAUAAUGGAGAAGCGGGGGAAAGUCUGUAUAAAUUUUGAAUGCAGAUAAUUUAGGGUGAUAGUUUCGUACAGUGGAUGAGCAGCACGUGUAAUACAGAGCGAAGGAAAGAACGGCUUUGAUGGGAUGAGCGUAUGUAUAUCGUAUGUACACUGUGUUGUUUUUGGGAUUUAAGUGUAUAAGCAUGGGUCAUAUAGUCAUUUCAAAGGUAUUUUGGCAACAGGCUUUAUAAUAUAGAUAGAUUUGACAGCGAAUUUAUGAUCAAUAUUAUCUGUAUUUGUCAACGGAAUACUAUAUUUAGGCAGCUGAAUCGAAUUAAAGAUUUUAUUUUAUUCUAAUUCUGAAUUAGCUAAAUUUGUAUUGUGAUUUUAUAUAUAAUAAAAGAUAUAAAAUAGACUCAGCAACAGUUUAAGAUUGAAUAUAAUACUAUGUGUACGGUUGGAUAAUUCAGCAACAGUUUAAGAUUGAAUAUAAUACUCAGCAACGGUUGAAUAAAAUGAAUUGUAAUUCAAUUUAAUAAUUUUAAUUUGAAUAAUUAUUUUUAUGAAAAAUAAGUAUUAUAAUAGGAGUUUUUGUUGUUUGUGUUUUCAGUGGAUUACAGUCUAUUAAAUCCAUACAGGGGCCGUUUGGUUCGAUUCGGAGAAACGGAAAUCCAUACAGGGGCUGUUUGGUUCGAUUCGGAGAAACGGAAUGGAAUUCAGAAAGGGAAACGCGGAGAAAGGAAUGGAAUGAUCCUGAAUUGUUUUACCUGUUUGGUUUUGUUGCAGAAACGGAAUGAAAAUUUGUGUGAUUAAUUUUAUAUUCGAUAUUUUUAAUAUUAUAUAAUUUCAAAAAAGUUAAAUGUAUUCAUAUCUAUAACAAGAUGAUUUAUUUACAUUCUAAGAAAUUAAUACAAUUUAUUUAACCAUACUAUUAAUUUUGUAAAAUAAAUUAACAUGUGAAUUAUGUCACAAUUAUAUUUAACUAAAAAAACUAAAUUAAAAAUUAUUUUUAAUUCUUAAAAAUACUUUAUAUGAUAAUCUAUUAUUUUAAUUGUCUAAAAUAUGAAUUAUAACUUAAAAUAGAAAAAAGGUGAGGAAAGAGAAUCCAAAUACCUAGUUGGGGGUGGGGAAUGAGCAAUGAGCAAUAUUGGGUAAACCCACUAUUAAAAAAGGGGAAAGAGAAUGAUAAUUUUGUUAAAACAAACACGUACAAAGGGAAUCAAUCAGGCUGAUUACUUUUCCUGAAUACCCCUAACCAAACGGCCCCAUAGUGUUGACUAGAGAUUUUGUUGGUUGGUACUCCCUCUGUCCCAUUUAAUUGUAUACGUUUCUUUUCAACUGCUCGACACGCAUUUCAAUGCUCUUAUAAAAUAUAGUUCCGUAACUUAUUUUUGAGAUUUUCUUUUUCUGAAUAAAAAUAUAACAUCCAAACUUUAAUUCAGAAAAAGAAAAUUUUAAAAAUAAAUUACACAACUACACUUUACAGGAGCAUUAAAGUCUGUGCCGCGUCCCCGUCCCCCAAUGUAUACAACUCAGGGGGACGGAGGGAGUAGUUGGUUAUGUGAAUUGUAAAUUGGGUAUGGAAAAGAAAUAACUUAACAUUAUAUUAACAGCCGCUUGCACGAUACUCCCUCCGUCCCAGCCAAUUCUUUACGUUUGGUUUGGGCACGGAGGUUAAGAAAUAUGUAUAAAGUAGUGGAAAAGAGAAAGAAAAGUGGAUGAAGUGGUGGGACCCAUCAAUUUUUUAAUGAAUAAAAGAGAGAUAGUGGAGUAAAAGUAGUGUGAAAAGGGAGUAAAAGUAGUGUGAAAAGGGAGGAAAAGUUGGGAAGUGGUGGGACCCAUUGACUAUUUUUGGUAAGUUUUGGAAUGUAAAGAAUUGGAUGGGACAUCCAAAAAAGGAAACUGUAAAGAACCUGGUGGGACGGAGGGAGUAUUAAAUUACAGUACAUCAGAAAUAUUUACAGCCGUUUCUGCCAUAUUGACAGAUUUGAUGUUGACUUUGACCUCUGCAAGUCCAACUACAUACUCACUGUGGCGUAUCUAUCGUGCAGAAGAAUGACCAACUUCAGGACUCUGAAUAAAAUCUACUUAAAUUUAAUAAAAUCAAAAAAUAUAUCACAUAUAUCAAUCAUCAAUAUACUUAUAUAAAGGAAAAAGCGAAGGGCGUGUAGGUGGCGCCUCUCACAUCACUCCAUUCUAUUUUUCUAAUUUUCUGAAAUUUUUGGAUGAAAGAUAUCAAAAAAAAAUUGUUUCAGAUUAAUUGAUAUGGUAUAUAUCUUGGUAUAAAUUAAUCUGAUUCUAUUUCAGAUUAUUUAAUUAUGAAAAAGAGUAGCACACAAGUAUCUCUGCACCUAUAAAUACCUUUAUAGGUUGUAGGGUUUUGGUCCUUUUGGAUCAUGUAAACACAACCCACACUCUCUCUCAAUAUCACAUUUAGGGGUGUGCAUUCGGUUCGGUUAACUAAAAACCGAACCGAAUAACCAAAAUAAUUUCGGUUCGAUUAAUCGAAAUUUAUAUUUCGGUUAUACUUAUAUAAAAGAGAAGCGAGAGACGUGUAGAUGGCGUCUCUCAGAUAGCUCCGUUCUAUUUUUUAAAAUUUUCUGGAAUUUUUAGAUGAAAGAUAUCAAAAAAAAAUUUGUUGGGUGAUCGAUGUAUAUGCCUAGAUGUCAUCAAUCAGUUCUGUUAUGCUUUUUAUAUGUAGUGAGUGGUGUAUAUGUCUAAGAAGUAGUGUUUAGAAAAAUUAAUGACAAUGUUAGUCAAAAACAUGAUUACUUUUCAAAAAGAAAAACACAAUUAAAAUUAAAAUUACAAAUAUUAAUUUUGAAUAAUUCAUAUAAUAUUUAUAGGCCGCCGCAACGCGCGGUUUCUCAACUAGUAGUUUAUGAAAAUGUAACGUAUCCAAAUUCUGUUUUCAAUUUUUUUCUCAAAUGACGUGAUUGACAGACGGAUGAUAUCAGGAUUUUAAACUAUACUCAAAAAUCUGAUAAUAUUAAAUUAAAAUUAUUUAAAAUUCAUUAAAAUAUGAUGAUAUUAAAAAACUGAUGUAAUUUUUUGACUUCAUAAAAUAAAUUUUUGUUGUAUUUUAUAUUUAUUUAAAUCUUAUCAAAAUCUAUGAGAUUUUGAUACAUUGUGUUUAAAUCCUAAAUACUCUGCGGUGAGUAUAUUCGACUAUGAGUUUAACGGAUCAUAUGUAAUUUAUGAAUUUUAAUGGAUUGUAUCUGAUUUUGAUUUUAUGAGGAUUUUUGAUAAAAUGUCCAAAGUUGUUAUAGAGUUUUAAGUAUUUAAGUACAAUAUUUUAAAAUCUCAUGGAUUUUAAUGGAAUUUCAAAAAAAUUUAAAAUCUCUAUGGUGAGUAUAUUCAUCUUUGAUUUUAAUGGAUCAUAUAUAAUUUAUGAAUUUUAAUUUGGGAAAUCUACAAAACUACCUACCUUUUUUUUAUUGUUUUCAAAAAUACUACCUUCCAGAAUUAUUUUUAAAAAUACUUUUUCAUAAUUUUUUUUUUCAAAAAUACGGUUUGCAACUUUUGCAACCUCAUCUGCAACUACAGGCGGCGCCAGCCGUGUUGCAACCUCUUUUACAACUUCAUAUGCAACCGAAUUCCUGAUUUCAAGUUCCAGUUUUCAAAUGUCAUUUUCGACCUCAUUUUCGGAAUCGAUAUAUAUAUAUUCAUUUGCAACCUCAUUUGCAACUUUUGCAACCUCAUUUGCAACUUACAGUUUUCAGUUGAACUAGUUGCAAUUGCAGUUGCAACAGUUGCAACUUUCUAUUUUUAUUUGCAGGUUUUAACCAAUAAACAGGAAUCAUAAGAUAAAAAUAAUUAACAAAAAAAUAGGAUAUAUAAAAUAAGAAUCAUAUAUUGAUUUUAUAAUAAUGUUAAUGAUUCUUGAUUAGUAUUGUGUUUGACGGGCACGGGAGGCGGCCCAAACUAAUUUUUAUCUAAAUAAUAAUAAUUUUUUUAUUUAGUAUUAUGUUUGACGGGAAAGUGGCUAAUAUAAUUUUUAUCUAUGUUAUAAUUUUUUUUUGUUAAAACGGUGGUUCAAAAUAAUUACAAAAUAAAAUAAGAUAUAUAAAAUAUGAAUCAUAUAUUGAUCUUAUAAUAAUGUAAAUGAUUCUUGAUUAGUAUUGUGUUUGACGGGCACGGGAGGCGGCCCAAACUAAUUUUUAUCUAAAUAAUAAUAAAUUUUCUAUUAGUAUUAUGUUUUGACGGGAAAGUGGCUAAAAUAAUUUUUUGUCCAUGUUAUAAUAUAUUUUUUUUUUGUUAAAACGGUACCGCGGUUCAAAUUAAUUUUUAUUUCUUAAAUUUCGGAGAAAAAUAUAGUUAUAAUUAAAAAAUUCAGGUUCAAGAAUUCUUUAAUUUUAUAGGAUUGAGGGUGUAGGGCCGUUAGGCCCUACUCCCUCGAGCCUAAACCGUAAUUAAUGCGAGGCUGCAGGGCCGAAGGCCCUAAAGUCGAGAAACCGGCAGAAUAAAUAAAUUUACAAUCGUUAGCAUUUAGGUUUUAGGUUUGGGUUGCAGAAUGAUUAAUUCGUACUGUAUAUUAAAUUAAAAAGAUUAAUCUUAAAAAUAUAGAUUAAUAGUUUUUAAUACUUUAGAAUUCAUAUUUGGGUUUUAAAAUGAUUUAUUUAUGAUUGAAAUUAAAUCAAAUUUUAAAAAAUUAAAAAAAAUGACACUCUCAACGUGGGACGAACCCACGUUUUGAGUUUGCAACAAAAAGUAAUGUGGCUUUAACUCACGUUUUAGAGGUGAAAACGUGAUCUUAACUCACGUUUUUAAAGCCCAGCCCAACUAAACGCCAACUGAAGUGGCGUUUUACUCUAAACGUAAUAUGAAGCUGCGUUUUGUUGUGACAGUCAGGGCCAUUUUAACGAAACAUGACUAUGAGGGCCAUAUUGUUAUUUAAUGUGACUGUGAGGGCCUACACCCAAAUAUUCCAUCUCUUGCUCUUUCGGACCAACAAUAGCCCUAAUUCUGUCCCCAUUUGCCGUAUAAUGUAAUUACUUAACGACAUGUCCAUGAUUGUGGCUUGAACCGGCUUUCCCCAUCCAAAAUCCAUUUCAUACUGAGUAUAUAAGUAUUAAAUAAAUAUUAUAAUUAUUAUAUAUAUAGAGAGAGAGAGAAGAGAGACAAAAGUUAUUUAGAGUCCCACUUUAUUUGGAGUUCCCGGAGUCCCAAUCCUGACCCUCCAUUUUUCUCUCAUCUAAAUCAUUAACAACAUUAUCUUUCCAAAUUAAGCGCUCACUCAUCUCUUCCACGAUUGUAGCGUCAGUUUAUUUUGUUGCUGAGUUUGUGAAAGAGAGAUUAUCCUGCUAUUUGUUACUCAACAUGUCCUGCAUUCAUCUUCACUUCUUUUCUAGUUUCACGGUGGUUUCUUUAUUUCCUUCUCGAUUUACAUCGAAUCAUUACCGAAUUUUCUUAGCUUUCUCAUCUUUUUGGAAUCAUGACACUAUGAGAAAGGAUCUACUAUGUAAUUUCUGUAAAUAUUAUUUAGUUUUUUUAGUAUCCCGUGUAAACAAGAUUUCGUGUUGAGAAUGUUUUAGUUUGUUCUUUCAUGAACUUUUAUUAUAAUUCUUCUUUUUGUUAAAUUCAUUGUCAUGUAUUUAUUAUAAAAAUUCUAUUUUUUUUUCCUUGUAGUUUUUGAGGUGAGGAUAAUAUUUCUCAUCAGUUAAUUCAAUGUUGUUCUGCACUGGAUGUAAGUAUGCUAUGAUUAUGUAAAGUUACAAGGAUCCUGUUUAGAAGUCAAUGAAUUGUUCUGCACGCGCAGUUGUCCUGCCGUCUGAAACUAGACCGAAGUAGGACUUUAUAGUGUACAGUCAAGCUAUGAUUUGUAGUAUCAAAGAAUCUGCAGGAUAUCAGCCCCCAUUAAUUUAAAAAUCAAAACCGCCGAGACAAUCCCCGUUUUAUCAGUAGUUGUGAUAUGCACAGUUGUUUAGGACUCCAAGGACUCUAGAGAGAAUGGAUUUCUAAUUAAGGACUCUAGAGAGAAUGGAUUAUCAUAUAUAUAUAUAUAUAUAUAUAUAUAUAUAUAUAUAUAUAUAUANNNNNNNNNNNNNNNNNNNNNNNNNNNNNNNNNNNNNNNNNNNNNNNNNNNNNNNNNNNNNNNNNNNNNNNNNNNNNNNNNNNNNNNNNNNNNNNNNNNNNNNNNNNNNNNNNNNNNNNNNNNNNNNNNNNNNNNNNNNNNNNNNNNNNNNNNNNNNNNNNNNNNNNNNNNNNNNNNNNNNNNNNNNNNNNNNNNNNNNNNNNNNNNNNNNNNNNNNNNNNNNNNNNNNNNNNNNNNNNNNNNNNNNNNNNNNNNNNNNNNNNNNNNNNNNNNNNNNNNNNNNNNNNNNNNNNNNNNNNNNNNNNNNNNNNNNNNNNNNNNNNNNNNNNNNNNNNNNNNNNNNNNNNNNNNNNNNNNNNNNNNNNNNNNNNNNNNNNNNNNNNNNNNNNNNNNNNNNNNNNNNNNNNNNNNNNNNNNNNNNNNNNNNNNNNNNNNNNNNNNNNNNNNNNNNNNNNNNNNNNNNNNNNNNNNNNNNNNNNNNNNNNNNNNNNNNNNNNNNNNNNNNNNNNNNNNNNNNNNNNNNNNNNNNNNNNNNNNNNNNNNNNNNNNNNNNNNNNNNNNNNNNNNNNNNNNNNNNNNNNNNNNNNNNNNNNNNNNNNNNNNNNNNNNNNNNNNNNNNNNNNNNNNNNNNNNNNNNNNNNNNNNNNNNNNNNNNNNNNNNNNNNNNNNNNNNNNNNNNNNNNNNNNNNNNNNNNNNNNNNNNNNNNNNNNNNNNNNNNNNNNNNNNNNNNNNNNNNNNNNNNNNNNNNNNNNNNNNNCUAUAACUUCUAUUCUUUUAUGUUUAACUACGAUUCAAAAAAGAAUAGACAUUAGUAUUUACAAGAAAUUUCAUAUUGACUGUUAUAUAUAUAUAUAUAUAUAUAUAUAUAUAUAUAUAUAUAUAUCAUAAUGAUAAAAUGAUCAUAGAUGGAUCGGAUCAAUCUAUAUCUAUUUUCGAUCCACUAAAUAAUUGGAUGACUCUUGUCGAAUCACAUUAUUUUUUCGACGAAUUCAUAUCUAUUUAAAUAGGUUCAGAUCGAAUUGGGUCGGUUCGGAUAUCCUAUUCAUUUACUGGGAUCAACUGGCUUCUUGUAAGUGUAACAUUUAGCCACUGAGAAGUAGAAUCCCAAAUUUAUCAAACUUAACCCAGCCAACAUCCAGAAGAAAUAAUCCAAAUGACCAUAAUUCAGAUUAUCAGGAAUCCACCCUUCACCACCAUUUUUCGUGCUCAAAUCUGUGACAAUGCUGACAAGUAAUGUGCUCAGAUAAUUCCCCAGGGCCGCUGUGGUUAGCGACAAUGCUGAGCACAAGCUCCUCAUGGCAUCAGGAGCCUGCUCAUAGAAAAACUCAAGCUGUCCGAUAAAUGUAAAUACUUCAGCACAUCCAAUGAUGAAAUAUUGAGGGACUUGCCAAAAAAUGGACAUGGGAACAUGCUCAAGUUCAUAGUACUUGUGCUUCUUGACCAUUUUUAGUCUCACUAGCUCUAGUGUUCCAGCACACAGCAUCGCGGCAAUUGAGAUCACUAGGCCUAUUCCCAUCCGUUGUAGCUGGGAGAAACCGCUUUUGUGACCCGUGAUUCGUCUGGCAAAAGGCACGAUCACACGGUCAUAGACUGGAACCCAAAAUAUGACGCUGAUGGUGUCGAAGAGGGAUAGUGAGGCUGGUGGAAUCUGAAAUGAAGGGCCCAUUUGAAGGUCCAUUGUGUUGCCUUGAAGAACGAAUAAUGUGCCCAUUUGAGUGUAUGCAGCAGCAAAGAUGAUGCCUGAUGCCCAUAUGGGCAGCAAGCCUAUAAUAGACUUGAGUUCUUCGACUUGUGUAACGGUGCAAAGUCUCCAGGGACUGAUGGAAUCUUUAGGUUCAUCAGAGUGAGUCACUACAGCUGCCUUGUCGAAAAAACUGGAACCAGAGUCUAAGUGAUCAGAAAAAAAUUACAAGGAUGUUUGUACAUGAAUUUUACAUUGCAUUAUGUGCAUUCGUACCUCAACUUGUCAGUAUGAUCAAGUUUCCGGCUUCCUUUAAUAACAGAUGCUUCCACUGUAUUUGUCUCAUAAAGCAAAGACUUGUCUCUAGGCACCUCAACACGUGAUUUUCUGAUAGAUGCAACGACUGCCUGAAAGAUCCGAGUAAAUGGACUUCCACUAGGCCUCACAUUGCGAUACAAACGUGUGCCUGAAAAGAAGCUCACAACAGCAAUAGCCAUAGCAGCAGCAGGAAUGCCAAAGCCCCAGCCCCAGCUCACAUUUGUUUGUAUCCAGACAAGCACUGUGGCAGCAACAAGUGCACCAAUGUUGAUCGAAAGAUAAAACCAGUUGAAAAACGAACUCUUGCUUUUUUUCUCAGACUCAUCCGAAUCAUCAAACUGGUCUGCCCCAUAAGAUGACACACAAGGCUUAAUGCCUCCUGUACCAAGAGCUAUUAGGUAAAGUCCUGUGUAAAAAACCCCGAGUUGCAGGCUUGUCGGAUGACAAACGUGCUUGUCAUCACACAAGGGUUUCAGUCCAUGGACAGACGCUGAUAGAGCCAAUAUUGUCAUUCCCUGUAAAUACGAUGCACAAUCUGUCACCCCAAACAUAACAGCUGCUUAUACAAAAUAUGAUAAAUUAAGAAUUAAAAUUUACUUACGAAAACAUAGACAAUUGAUAAGGCAGCAAUUGUCCAGUAUCGACCAAGGUAAGCAUCAGCAAGAAAUGCGCCAAGUAGUGGCGUGACAUAACAUGUACCAGACCAGUUGGUGACAGUAUUAACUGCAACAACAUUACUUCGGUUUAAUUGGAACUUGAGAUAAUUCACUAAAUUAAUGUUGAUCCCAUAGUAUGCCAAUCUUUCACAGCAUUCAGUCCCUGUUUGAAAAUUGAACAGUUAAAUAAUUGCUGCACAUGAAGAUUUUAGAAGCGGUGAACAAGUGCUUUUUUUGAUCAAAUUGUCUGAAACUGUAAUAUGAACCUCAAUUCCCUCAAAACCCGAAAGAAAUACUAUGUGAAGUACCUAAUCGACUACUCAAACUAGGCAAACCUGCAACUUAACUUACUUACCAACUCAUUUGACUUCAAUUAACUGCUCUUUCAUUAAAGAUAACUUAGCUUGCUUACAAUUGUACAGCAAAUAAUCAAGACAGUAGUUCAAAUUACAGAAUGAAAUGAUCGAUAUGAGUAGAAAAGGACUAAACGAACCUAGGAUGUAAGGGCAUGCUUUCCAGGUUCCAGUUUUGUUUCUGAUAGUAGGGUUGUUACGAUAAUCAGUUGUUCCAUCUUUGGUAUACAUAUCUUCUUCUGCCUCUGCUAAAGCCAUAUAAGCUGUCAUUGCUUGUAUACUACUAAUAGAAGAUACCCGAAUCCGUUUACUUCAAAAAAUCUGAUCAGACUAUAGUUAGCAGCAUUCUUGUGGUUAUCAUUCAUUUGAAUGUACUAGGAUGACAUAAGUGUACGAGGUUUGUUAUCCUAUAUGAAUGUGAGGCUGCAAACAGAGACUUUUUCUGUAUCACUCAACCACUCAAUGAUUGCGUAGAAUGUCAAAUGAAUUGUUGGCCAUUCAUUUUCUUAUUUUGUUUCUUGUGAGGUUUCCUCACUACAAUUAGUAAGACCAGUCCCCACUAUGGUCCACAACUCUCUGAUACUCAUCGAAGACAGAAGUCAGGGACCGUCCUGCAAUAUCAUCAAACAUCUAACCGCGGAACCUUGUUCUAUAUUUUAAACAAAGGAUGCAUAACAAAGAAUAGAACAUAUUAGUUAUGGAGUCCAGAGAUUUAUAAAGGUUAAAGACCAAACAAUCCUGCAGCCUGCACACAUCUUCCCUCAUCCGCAAUGAACAAUAAAAGGCGAUUCCUGAUAAAAUGGCGUAUAAGAAAACUUCUUGUUCUCUCUCUUAUCUCUUAAGUCAUCACCCUGAUGAUUUCAGGUGUCAGUAAUUUUAAUCAUGCUGAUAUGUAAUGAAAAAGGCCUACUUUGGUAUUUUUGUUAUACCUGCCUCAUAUAGUACGUAAAUCCAAUUUUGCAGAAAAACUCCAAUUGGCAUGAUUUGAUGCUCCAUUUAAUCUUGCAGAAGACUAAAUGAUUAUGUGAGAAAGAAUGAAUAAUUAAUUAUGUAUGGCUUGGACCAUUUGAUUGAAUUUAAAUGAUUAUGUAUGGCCUGGAAUUUUUGAUUGAAUGUUGCAUAGCCUGGACCAUUUGAUAAAUUUUGUAUACUAAGUGCCAUUUGCUAUAAUUUAUAUCUAAUGACAUGAAUAUGUUUUCCCCUGUUUAAUACUAUAAACUUUGAUAUAAGAGUUCAUUUUAUGUUAUAACUCUAGUAUUUAUAUUGUUUCUUUUCAUAAUAUUAAGAUACUUUUCAGGUUUGUACUACUAGAUUCAUAUUACCUAUCUGCUUGUUGUGUUUCCAAGUUAUUUUGGGUUGCAACUUGCAAAUUAAAUUUUCGAUAUAAACCAUGUCAAGGAGGUGAAGCUAGCUCAGUGACAACACUCAUGUAAAUUAUGUUUUUAUUACUAUAACUUGCAGCUAGUUAUAAGUUGAGAGAAGAAUGUUCCAUUUUUAAUAUUCUGUAGCUUAAUCAUUCAUAAUAUCAAGUUUGCUUGCCACAUCAGACUGUCUGUUAUAUCAUGAAGUUUAAGAUAACAGAAUGAUAUAUACAUAGAGUUGAGUGAUUUUAGUGAGCCCUCAUGGACUUUGAUGAGUUAAAUGAGACAUUUUAUUCACUUUAGUGAGCAUCUCGAUAUUUAAACCAUUUUAUUCCAUGCCUUGUCUCUUUUGUUUUGCUUGCCUGAAAUAGUAUGGAAGUUGUUGCAGAACAUCUCAAAUUCGCUGAUUUUCAUGCCAUGCUACAACGGUGCAAGGUACUGUUUUCAUUCCUCUGUUAUGUAAGCCAGCAGCAUCCUACUCUUCUUCAUUAUCAUACUUCUGAUAGUAACUUCAGAUAUGGUAACUUUGUUAUUAAGCUAAAACCGAUGAACAUAAAUGAUCACUGAUUGAGUCGAAUUGUAUAGUUAAAACUUAAAAAUCAAAGGCGUCACAAAGAUUUCAUUUUGUUGCUACUUGAUAAUUGAUUUAAACUCACGUAUUCAGAAUUGAAAUAAGUACUUAAUGCAACCUUGUUUUCCAUCACUGGCCAGGGCCAAGUCCUCCUCAAUCCUCAUGCUGGAGUUGGUUGUGCCGCUGCCAUAUAACAUAUCCGAAUCCUUUUACUUCAAAGAAAUCUGAUCAAACUAACCUCCACGAAUCUUUGAUACUCAUUAAUGACAGAAGUCGCCUCAUUCCUGCAAUAUAGUCAAGCAUCUAACCGCGGAACGUUGUUCUGUACUACAACAAAAGAUGCAUAAAAAAGAAUCAAUCAUCUUAAAUACGGAGUCCAGAGAUGCAUAUAAUCCUGCAACCUGCACACCUUCUCUAAUCCGCGAUGAACAAUAUUAGGCGAUUGCUGAUAAAAUGCUGUAUAAGCAGAAUUCUAGUUUUCUCUCUUACCUCUUAAAUUAUCACAGUGAUCAUUUAAGUUGUCAGCAUUAUAAUUUCCGAUUAUUAUUUCUCACCCCUCCAUAUGAUCCAACUUCAAAAUUCAGAUACAUCAUCCAACUCAGAUCCUGUCCAUAUAGUCCAACUUCGAAAUUCAGAUACAUAGUCCACCUCAGAUCCUGUGGUUAGACCUACUUGGAAGACAGUGGAUACUUGUUAGCUGUUACCCACAGUUGCUCUUGUAAUGAGUAAUGUACUUUAAAAUCUUACCUUUCAAACAAUGCAUAAUCAUUAUUUAGACCAAGCUAUGUACUCUUCAAAUAUCAUCAUUACAUAUAUCAUAUGAGCAAUUUCCCAUCUUAUGUUGUUCAAUUCAAACAUGAUAAGGCAGGAAGUUGGUCCCUCACAAGCGAUUGUCUCAGUGCUUUUUUCUUCUUCGUGCCGGAAGAUAAAAAAAAAAAAGAAAAAAAAGUAGCCCCAUUAUUUACAUAAAAAAAAUAGGGUUAAAGCUAUUAAAAGAAAAACCCGCUUAAAGAUAGUUGCAUCAAUCGUCUGUCAGGACCCGGACCCUAUAAUAUAUGAUGGUUCAUUGGGACGUCCUCUAAGGUACAGUUCGUUACCCUCGAAUCUUGGGUCUAGUUUGUCAAUCAAGGUCACAAUUUAUCAAUGGUCCUGGACCAAGUACUUGCUAUCUUCUAACAGGAAGAAUUUUUUUCAGCGCUUUGUUAGCAACAUGCAGAAGACCGGUGGCAUGUCGAAAUCCUAGCUACUACAAGUCUACAACUAAAAUUUGCAUAUCACUUCUAUAUUACUCUGACGGUGAUUGUUUAGUACCAUCAGCAUCUCAACAAAGAUACAGUGCUAUAACUUUCGGAUCGUAAAAAACACGUGUCACGGGCUUCAAUCAUAAUAAAAAAAAAAAAAAAAAAAAAAAGAGUUUCGGGNNNNNNNNNNNNNNNNNNNNNNNNNNNNNNNNNNNNNNNNNNNNNNNNNNNNNNNNNNNNNNNNNNNNNNNNNNNNNNNNNNNNNNNNNNNNNNNNNNNNNNNNNNNNNNNNNNNNNNNNNNNNNNNNNNNNNNNNNNNNNNNNNNNNNNNNNNNNNNNNNNNNNNNAAAAAAAAAAAAAAAAAAAAAAAAACGAGUUUCGGGUAUAUUUUACUAGAAAAAUCUUCUAAACAGGAUCUUCUAGUAGUCCACGCUUCAAUCUUAAAAAUGGGUUUUCGAACAAAAGAAUGUAUUGUCCCAUGUUCAUAAUUUAUUAAUUUACGUGUUAAGAACGAAAUUAUUUUCAUAAACUCCGAAAUUAAAAAAAACAGCGCUGGAAAUAACAUUUCCUCGUGAAUACGAGAUAUGUGUGUUAUGUUAGGUUGUAACAGCAAGUAUGGUAGAUGUUUCGAAAAGCUUCUCCAUGAUGUAUACAAAAUUCUAACCCAGACAUUGAAAUACAAAGUAUAUGAUUAAGAAAUUUGUAACACAUAUUGAUAUUUAAUUUGUUUUCGUUAUUUAUAUUCUUUUGUGAACUGGAAUUUGGUGGUUAAGAAGAUAAAACUAGCAUACUUUAUGUAACAAGCAAGGAAAGAUUGGCAAAAUUUCCUGAAUUCUCAUUGCUUUUUUAAUAAGAAUUUCUAUUCAUUCACCUAAAACGAAAAACGACAUUGCAGCAGUAUUCUGUAGUUAUCUGAUAUGCAUAUAAAGGCUGAAAUGCUGAGACAUUUCUCAGUACUUAGAACAGAUUAAGUUGCAGACAACUUAAUCAACGUCGAAAAUGGAGUCCUGGAUUCGAGUUUUGAUGUUUGCAGCAUGCCUGUUUCCUGUUUUAGUCGAAUGCAGAGUUCGACAUUACAAAUUCAACGUAAGAAUCUCCCAACUAAUUUUCAGACAGGUUUUAUAUGUUAUGAUACUAAUUCUGCAACCUCUGCUUGCAUGAUUUUAUGCAUGCCAAUUUGCCAUGCAAAGUAUAUAAAACUAAGAACUUACCGUUAAGGGAUAGCUUAUCUGGUUAAGAGUUUAUCCUCUGUCGUCACAGGUCCUGAGUUUGACCCUGAUUCAGGUCCUGGCUUAUAAGGCUAUAAGCCAUAUUUGUCAAAACAAAAAAAGAAGAACUUACUAUUAAGAGUGUUUUUCUUAGUACAGAAAGAGCUAACAGUUGGGGUUUUGAUUAAUUUUGUGAAGGUGGUGAUGAAAAAUUCGAGCAGAUUGUGCUCAACAAAGCCAAUUGUGACGGUGAAUGGACGAUUCCCAGGUCCUACUUUAACUGCCAGAGAAGGAGACACAGUGCUAGUGAAGGUUGUCAACCAUGUCAAAUACAAUGUUUCAAUCCACUGGUAAACUCAAACUUAUUUCAAGUUCUGAACUCAUUACUUGGAACUAUGGAUGGAACAGCAUUGUAAUGUUGUCGAAUGCAGGCAUGGAAUUCGACAGCUGAGAACAGGGUGGGCGGAUGGGCCAGCUUACAUCACACAAUGCCCUAUUCAGCCAGGGCAAAACUAUAUUUACAACUUCACAAUCACAGGCCAAAGGGGUACUCUGUUGUGGCAUGCACAUAUCCUAUGGCUACGUGCAACAGUACACGGUGCCAUCGUGAUACUUCCUAAGAGAGGCGUCCCAUAUCCAUUUCCCAAACCCGACAAGGAAGCUGUGGUCAUACUAGGUAAUUAAAACCGCGACAAAUAUCAAAUAACAGUAAAAUUAUGCCUUUAUUAAGAAAUGGAGGUUCUGAUUAAAUGUUGUAAAUUUGUGAAGCUGAAUACUGGAAAGCAGAUACGGAACUUGUGAUCAACCAAGCACAGAAAUCAGGAUUGGCGCCAAACGUCUCAGAUGCACAUACAAUCAAUGGCAAACCAGGACCAGUCCCUAACUGUUCAGCACAAGAUGCAUUUAAACUGGAUGUUGAGGCAGGGAAAUCUUACAUGCUACGUAUCAUCAACGCUGCACUCAACGAAGAACUUUUCUUUAAAAU
rnacentral:lncRNA from 1 species